UUUUCAAGGUUGCCUCCCUCUGAACAAAAGAAUGGAAAAGAUAAGAAAAUUUAUAAACAGAAGAAAUUAAAGUGUGAACAUCAAGAAAGAGGGAAAGUGAGAUUGAAGUUUAUAAAGUGACCGAUGGCGCUGAGUUGUUUGCAUAGCUGUUAUCUCCUUCUCCUCCAUUCAUGAACAGAACUUGUUCUACUUGCAUGGCUCCAUUUUUGCUAGAACCUUGCCCUAAUUCCAUGCUUCUCAUCUGAGUGAAUGAUCUUCGUCGUGUCCCUUGCUCUAGUUCUAAGCCACUUACGGUUUAUAUACAGAAAUCAAUGGAAUUUAAUGGGACUCUCAUCUAAAUUUUUCCCUCGAAAAAUAAUUAGUUUCAGUUUCACUCGUAACCGGCUACCCCUCAUGUACUAGAUGACAAAAUAAGAAUAGCAUUAUUGUGCUUAAUUUUUAGAAGGAAAAGUGUUAAUGUUUUACCAUCCUUUGAGGAUGUUUGCUUUGAAAAAAAAAAGGAAACGAAAGAAAAGAAAAGAAAAUUGUACCAUCCAUAAAAUUAUUUUAAUAUCCUCUUCAAACCAAAAGUUAAGAUUGGGCUAUUUUUAAAAACCUCACCUGAGGUUUGAUAUAAUUUCAGUUAGAUGGUGAAAUUGAUUGUAUUUUCACUUACCUCCCCUCCCGUUAGUAUACAUACGCGUAUAACAUUAGUAUUUGAGGGCAAAAAUGUAAAAAACAUGCUAAAAAUCUAAAAAAAUCAAGUAACAAUAAAAAAAUGGUUUGAAAUUCAUUGGAUAAUUGUAUUAUUCGAUUACACACAAUAUCUAUUGUGUAAAAGAGUUAAUUUCUCUUUCUCCAGCAUAAAAAAGCAAUGGAGAUUUCUUUCUCUCACAUUAACAAUCAAAGCAUUUUUCACUCGACUCCCCUAUUCUCAGUUGCUGGAAUAAAAAGAAAUAAACACAAAGAGCAUAUAUAACCCAUGAAGAAGACAAACAUGGUGGUCAGAGAAGGCGACCGACCGGUGACGAUCGACAGCGGUCGGGAUAUGCCACUGGUAUUGAAGUUUGUAAGAGGUUAAUUACUUUAUCAAAGUCUAAAAUUUUUAAAUACCUUUGAUUUUCUUGUUUUUGGAGAUUUUAUAAGUGGUUGUUGGUUGUGUUUGAUUUGUCUUGUUUAUGGGUUGGGUGGUUGUUGGUUGUGUUUGAUUAGAUUUUAUAAGUGGUUGUUGGUUGUGUUUGAUUUGUCUUGUUUAUGGGUUGGUGGUGAAAAAAUUGAUUAAAAGGAGAAUGGGUUCAGACAUAUGUGGCCAUAAGUUGAAAAAAAUUGUUAUUAGUUUUUUUUAUGUUUGUGAUUUACACCAUACAUAGUGUAAUAAAGUAUAUAAAGCCAAUAAUUUGUUAUUAUUAUGCAAAUGAGUAUGCAAAACAGAAGUAGUCUUAGUUGUAAUUUUUAUUUUUCUGACCAAAGUUUGCUCAAGUUGAUAUGUUUAUGAAUUUGCAUUGUUUUUGUAUGUCUAUCGCACAAAUACAGUUCCUGCGAUUUUAAGCGACAGGGCCUGUCCCCCAUGCGACAGACUCACGUUGCACGAACACAGUUUUUGUGUUUUUGGACGACAACGUUGUCGCCCGUGCGACGGCUUAGGUUGCCCGAAUUCAGCUUCUGUGUUUUUGGGCGACAUGAUAGUAUUAUGGUGCAACAAGCAUGUCACACUAAAAACACAAUUUGUGUUUAAUAUUAAUUCAAAAUAAAAAUAGUACACACACACACACAUAUAUUAUCAUCACAAUUAUUAUUAAUAUCUUUAUUAAAAUGUAUUACUAUUAUCAUUAUUUUUCUUUAUUAUUGUAAUUGUUGUUGUUGUUUAGUAAUGUUAUUAUUAUUAUUAUUUUUAAUUAUUACUUUGCUUUCACUUAUUAACGUGUGCAUAUUUACAUAUGAUAGGAGCGAAAGGCCAGUUGUUCCACUGGAACCUGCAGCAAAAAUGGACUAGUUUGACUUAGCAAACGAGAAUGAGUUUGCUCUCCUUGAUUUGAAUUAUGAGGUUCACAUUGAGCAAGUGACGGCAAUAGAAGAUUCUCUUGAGAGGAUGCCGGCAAAUUAAGAAGUCGUAUCAUCUUUUUGUACUCAGUCAUUGAUACAAGAUUAAGUUUUUGUAUAUUUUGUAUAAAUGUGAUACUAACAAACUCACAUUAUAGUGACAAUGACAUGUAUAAAGUAUAACUCAGCUAUCAUAGCACACUGUUAGUGUAGUUGUUAUUUUUGUUAUUUUUGUGUAUAUGGGUGGUUACCGGAUGUAUAGGCUGAUGAAAUUCAGUCAAUUUGUGACUGUCACCAAUUGUAAGCUGCGGAAAUGCACAUGUGACUAUAAUUUAAAUUAUGGUGCCAUUUUACUUAGUGUUAUUUUCCAAUUCAAUUAACUCCUACUAAUGUUUUUUUUUCCUCUCGGUACAAAUUUAAAUGUUUGUUAUUUGUUAUUUGUGUUGCUGGUUUGAUGACAUAUAACUUGAUGGUUUGGAAUUUACUUAUUUCUUUAAACAAGUAAAAUAUUAGUGGUUUGGUGGUGAUGGAAUCCCUUAACAUAUUUUGGAGACUGGUAUAGUCUAUUGCUGAGAGAAGUAAAUUAUUUUUUAGUGAUUUUUGAUUUCACGUGUUAGUUAAACAAAUUUUCUGUAAUUUGGGGAGACAUGUACCUGUACCCCGAGAGACGGUGCCUGUCACUCUAAAUCACAAGCACUUGUUGCGAUAGGCCCUGUCGCGCAUGCAAUUUUCCAUAAAUGUAAAAUACCCUCUUAAGCUAGUUGUUGUAAACUUUUCAUGCUAGAUAAUGAGCUUACAAAAUAGGACUUCGCAUGAAUGCACCAUCAACACCUUAAUCUACCUAAAAUGAGACAAACAAACCCCAAGAGGCAUUUUGUCGAGCACCUCAUGUGCCAUUUAUUAACUACCAAUUUCAGUAAACCAUUUUUAAUAUUUACACACCAAUCAAUCCUAAUGCUCAUCUAUAAUCAUUUAUAUACCCAUUUGUCAUCAAUCAAUCUUAGGAAAACGAAAAACAAAAAGAAUUUACAAUAUAAGGCUUGCCAAAAUUACCGAAAAUUAACUUGAUAUAUUGCGGCCAAAAUGGCAGAAGUAGAGCCACGUGCUGCCGGAGAUCAACUUGCUGUCAAACGCAUGUCCAACUGCCGUCCCCUGUUGCCGGAAAACUUAAGACCUAGGUUUAAUUUGGAGAGAAGAGAAGGUAUAUAUUUGGCAAGCUAUUUUCGUCGUACCCUUACUUUGUUGGCGCCAAAAUUUUUGGUUGAAUAAUUAGUUUGGAUAUUUCAGUCAUUUCUCAAGUCAACUAACAGUCAAGUUGUAUGUAUACUAACGACAAGGGAGGUAAGUGAGAAUACAAUCAAUCUCACCAUCUAAUUGAAAUUAUAUCAAAUCUCAGGGGAGGUUUCAAAAAAUAACCCGGAUGAGAUUAUAAUUUUAUUUUUGAAUAAAAUUACACUAAGAGAAAAAUUAAAAAAUCUAUUUAGAAUUCCACUCUUCAAAGUUAUUAUUUUAUCCCCUUAUUUUUCAUCAAUGAAGUUCGCGAUCACAUCACACGACAGUGACAUUUAGCCAGAUGAGGCCGGGAGGCUUUUGAUUUGAAAGAAAUAAUAUCCAGUAGGCACUAACAAUUAUUAAUUAGAUUAGGAUCCACUUCUUCUCCUACUAAUUACUCAAACUAAGAAAAAGUGGAAGGCUUCCCAUCUCAAAUCUGAGUGUGUGCAUGCCUAUAUGAAGAUAAUUAAUUAAAAACAUAUUAAAAGUUCUUAAACAAAACAGUGGCCUUUUAAUUUGUACUUUUUCUUAGUGCUAACCUUGGCUGGAUCACUAAAUUUCACCGGUCGCACAGCAAAUGACAUUUUCAAUGGUUUCACAAUAUAACAUAAGUUCCUAACACAUCAACAGUUGUGGUUGGCAAAUGCAUUUUCUUAGAUAGUUUAAUUAACACGUCUCAAUAUCUGUUAUGUUUGAUUGAGACUUUGAGACUUCGCUGCCAACACUCUAACAAUAAAUGGUUUUGGAAUCGGUGCUUGAUAUAUUUGGGAUUGGAUAUCGACGUAAUAUUAGGUAUGAAAAAGCGUACUUCCACCCGGCCCUUAAUUACCUAAUAUAAUGAGCCCUUACGGGGAUUUUUGCUAUGCCCAUUCUUAUAUAGGUAGAUUGUUAAUUUCCAGUUAACAAUUUUGGUUACAAAUUAUAAUCAAACACGUAUGAUGAAAAUGGCCACAGCCCACCCACAUGUUCAGUCUCUGUUUUUGCAAAAAUAGUUGUUCAUAUGCCAUUGACAGGCGUUGUCUUUACUUUCACUGCGAGCGCGAGAGAUAUUUUGCUUCAUCAAAUUCAAUAGCCCUUCAAUACGCCGAAUUUAAAUUAGUCGAGUCUCAAUAUAGUUUUUCAAUACCAAAUUAUAUAGAGUUGGACCAUUGGCACCCCUCUAAUCUCUUCAUAAGAUUCUAUUUUUAAUUAUUUUUAUUUUAUUUUCGAAAAUGCCCCUUUUUUAGAUACACUUUUUUAAGUUUUCAAUUUUCAUUUGAUUUGUUUUAUUGUUAAAACUCAAAGUAUUAUUGUGCUAUCUUUUUCAUUAUUUUCAAUUUUAUUAUUACCCUACACACAAAUUAAAAAGUUAUAUGGGUGAUAAGUUUUUUAGUGUUAAUCAUUGGUUGAAAUAAUACCAAUUUCAAAUUAUAAUAUCAAAGCAAUUUUAAGUAUAAAAAUAUUUAAUAAAUAAGGAAUCAAAAGAGAACAAUAGAUUAUCCUAAAUUUGUACAAUUUAUUUUCAUUAAAUAGGAAGUAACAUAUAUAUAUUUUUUUAAAGGAUUGAUUAUGAAUUAAGUAGUUUGCUGGAAAAAAAAAUUAUAUGUGUUUAAUUUUCAGUUAUCUUUAGUUGUAAUUUUAUUUAAAGGGGAUUUUAUAAGAAUAAUGCAGGGGUGCCAAUAGCUCGGCUCAAUUAUUUAAUACAUUGAAAAAUUCAAUAGCCCUUCCCUUUUACUUCGACAUUGGAAUUUUCUUGGCCUUCGUGGGCUGUUGAAUUUGACUCUGUUAUUUAAUAUGGGAUUUGCUGAUUUUCUUUUGGUCUUUCUGAUUAUAGGCCUCCUUUGGCCUCGUUGAUUCUGGUCUAACAUCAAUUGAGUUACCCAAUUUUGGUAUAAAAGGUACACGCUCUGAGAAAAGAGUUUUAUCAACUACUAAAAAAUAAUUUUACUUGGUCCCACCCGUUAUCAAUGGGAUCAGGGAUACUUUCAGCAAGAAAUAUAUCGAAGAGUCAGUGCUGGACUGACUCAUGCUCCUUUAGGUUAUUUAAAUUCUGUGGGUGGAGUAGCUACCGAGAUCAAUGCAGUUAAUUAUGUCUCUCCGAGAACUUGGUUAGAAGUUAUUAAAUCCAUCACUCAAUAAAUUACUGACACAAAAUGUAGAGAUUCUUAUUGGGAUGUAUGCCAUUAUUGCUCGAUUAUAUUCAUACUAUAUAUAUAUAGUACGAAUAUAGACCAGAAUUCUGAACUUCACCAAUGUCCAAUAAACUAUUAAGAUAUAUAGUUUAAUACAUUGAAGUACAUGGUAAGUAAAAAGACAAAAAUUAUAGAUUCAAUACUUGAAAUAAUACCAAUUUCAAAUUAUAAUAUCAAAGCAAUUUUAAGUAUAAAAAUAUUUAAUAAAUAAGGAAUCAAAAGAGAACAAUAGAUUAUCCUAAAUUUGUACAAUUUAUUUUCAUUAAAUAGGAAGUAACAUAUAUAUAUUUUUUUAAAGGAUUGAUUAUGAAUUAAGUAGUUUGCUGGAAAAAAAAAUUAUAUGUGUUUAAUUUUCAGUUAUCUUUAGUUGUAAUUUUAUUUAAAGGGGAUUUUAUAAGAAUAAUGCAGGGGUGCCAAUAGCUCGGCUCAAUUAUUUAAUACAUUGAAAAAUUCAAUAGCCCUUCCCUUUUACUUCGACAUUGGAAUUUUCUUGGCCUUCGUGGGCUGUUGAAUUUGACUCUGUUAUUUAAUAUGGGAUUUGCUGAUUUUCUUUUGGUCUUUCUGAUUAUAGGCCUCCUUUGGCCUCGUUGAUUCUGGUCUAACAUCAAUUGAGUUACCCAAUUUUGGUAUAAAAGGUACACGCUCUGAGAAAAGAGUUUUAUCAACUACUAAAAAAUAAUUUUACUUGGUCCCACCCGUUAUCAAUGGGAUCAGGGAUACUUUCAGCAAGAAAUAUAUCGAAGAGUCAGUGCUGGACUGACUCAUGGUAGCUACCGAGAUCAAUGCAGUCCUUUAGGUUAUUUAAAUUCUGUGGGUGGAGUAGCUACCGAGAUCAAUGCAGUUAAUUAUGUCUCUCCGAGAACUUGGUUAGAAGUUAUUAAAUCCAUCACUCAAUAAAUUACUGACACAAAAUGUAGAGAUUCUUAUUGGGAUGUAUGCCAUUAUUGCUCGAUUAUAUUCAUACUAUAUAUAUAUAGUACGAAUAUAGACCAGAAUUCUGAACUUCACCAAUGUCCAAUAAACUAUUAAGAUAUAUAGUUUAAUACAUUGAAGUACAUGGUAAGUAAAAAGACAAAAAUUAUAGAUUCAAUACAAUAUAAUUUGUCUUGUAAUUUACUGAAAUCUGAAUUUUUUGUCUUUUACCCUGUCCGUUAUUUUAAAGUAAGGGAUUCCAUUAUUAGAAGGGAACUAUAUAUUUAUAUAUAUUAAUGAAGAUGAGAAGUUAUGCGCGGGUGCUCUCAAUAAUAUUGAGGGUAUUAAUUCAAGUUCUCAUGGAUCCUCUUUUCCCUUUCCACAAUUAAAAAAACAGGAAAUAUGCAUGGUAGUUUUACAUGCAAGGUUAUUAGUGAAAGAAAUAAAUUUUUUAUCCAGUCCCAACAAAUUUUUAAAUUUUAUUAUAAAUGAAUGCAUAGAAAGUUUCAAUAAAUAUAAGUCUUGAGAGUAAUAUAUAUGUGUAGGUUGUAAUCAUUAAAAAUAAAUAUAAGCUAUUAACUUUAGUUUUAAUUUGGUCUAUCAAGUGCAUUGUUGAAUUUAAUUAUAAAUGGCACUGAGAACAAAUUUUCACGAUGAACUGAAUAAAAUCUUCUCCAAAGGACCAAGGCUAUCAAAGAAAUGAUAGGUUAAUUUCUUCUAUAUAUUAUAAAUUAAAAUGGAAAAAACUAAAACAUUAAGUGGGAAUAAGUAAUUGUCAAAAAAUUUUAAGGGUGGGGAUAUUUCCGCUCCAAUAUUUUUGUAUAUCCAUCCCACUUCUAGAAAAUAAUUGCAGUGAAUUCACAACAUUCUCAAAAAAUAUAAAUCAAUAAAAGUUUUGUUUAUUUAAUCAAGUCCUUCCAUUAACUUUUUUAUUAGGUUUCUUUGACCAUAUUUAAUCAUAAACUUUAAUAUAAGUUUUAUUUUACUAUUUUAUUAUUAUGAUAUAAAAUAAUCAAAUUGUCCCAAAAAACAAGAGUUACUGUAUCUAAUAAUUUAGGUAUUUAAUUUUGUGACUUAUAAUACAUUUUUUUAAAUGAAAUCUAAUUAUUAUUUUCACCACACUUCCAUGUAAAUGACAUAUAUUUGACUGUCCAAUAAUUUACAUGAGUAUUGUGCCAUAAAGACACCAAGUUAGUUUAAUUAAAAUUUAAUAAUCAUACUAAUAAAGUAGUAAUAGAAAAAAUGAGUUUGGUAUAAAAUUAGAAAAAUAUUGAAGUUAAAGUAAAUUCUUGGUAGUGUUGCCUUAUAAGGCUAAAAUAGUCAAUUUAAACUUCUGCCAGAGCAGUCUUUAUAAUCAAAUUCAAAUAUAAUAAAAAAAUCAAAUUAUGAUAAAUUCAGUUAAUUAAUUCUCCAAUGUUCUUCUUUAUUUGAAAUUUUUUAAAAAUAAUUUACACUUUGUAAUUAUUUUUAAAACAUGGGGUGGGUUUACAGAAAUUUUGGAAUGGAGAUAUCAUCACCAUAAAUAGAAACAUUGAAUACUUGCAGCCCUUGGGUUCCAUUGAAAUACCAACAUAAAACUGUUGAGUUGAUUUUGUUACUACUUAGUCAAAAUAAAAUUCCUAUUGUUAAAGGUGACGUUAUUUGUUGAUUUUAGUCUUCCAUGUCUUUAGGAGUCAGUUAAACUUGGUUCCUGUUUUGUUGCUUGGUUCGUUAUGUAAGGCUAUUUAAUAGCCAAAGUUAUUCUCAUUUUAAUAACAGUUAGAAUUCUUCUAUACUCUGUAGCUUUUAACAUUUGGUAUCAGAGCUUUUCUCCAGUGGGCCUGAGAAUAGAAAGCUGCAGCUUUUGAGUGACUUGUAUUCAAGAAAAACUAGAGAAGAAAGAGAUGGCAAGUGAAGGGAGUUUUGUUCAGCCUGCGAUUCCACGCUUCGAUGGUCAUUACGACCAUUGGAGCAUGCUAAUGGAGAACUUCCUUAGGUCCAAAGAAUAUUGGAACCUUGUGGAGAUUGGUUUUGUCGAGCCUGCAGACGGAGCUGCUGUAACGGAAGCACAGCAAAAGAGCCUCGAUGAGAUGAAGUUAAAGGAUAGGAAAGUGAAGAAUUAUUUGUUUCAAGCAAUUGACAGGACCAUCCUUGAAACAAUUUUAAAGAAGGACACCUCAAAACAGAUAUGGGACUCGAUGAAAAAGAAAUUUGAAGGUAAUGCUCGAGUGAAACGUUCCAUCCUUCAAGCACUAAGGAGAGAUUUCGAGACCCUUGAAAUGAAACCAGGUGAAAUUGUUAUUGAUUAUUUCUCAAGAGUCAUGUCAGUAGCUAAUAAGAUGAGAAAUUAUGGAGAGGAUAUGCAAGAUGUUAAAGUGGUAGAGAAGAUUCUUCGAUCAUUGACUGAGAAGUUCAAUUAUAUUGUUUGUUCAAUUGAGGAGUCAAAGAACAUUGAUCAGCUUUCAAUUGAUGAGCUAGAAAGUUCACUAAUUGUUCAUGAGCAGAAAUUUCAUAGGAAUAAUGGAGAGGAACAGGCGCUGGAGAUAACACAUGAGAAUAGUUCAGGAGCAAGAGGUCGUGGUAGAGGAGGUUUUCGAGGAAGAGGAAGAGGACGGGGCAGACAACAAUUUGACAAAUCCACAGUGGAGUGUUAUAAUUGUCACAAACUUGGACAUUUUCAAUGGGAGUGUCCAAGUAAUGAGAUAGGAGCAAAUUUUGCAGAGACUCAAGAAGAGAUGUUGUUGAUGGCAUGCGUAGAUGUGAACAAGGACAACAAGGAAGAUAUGUGGUAUCUUGACUCGGGCUGCAGCAAUCAUAUGUGUGGAAAAAAGGAAUAUUUCUCAGAUCUAAAUGAAAAUUUUAGAGAUUCUGUGAAGUUGGGCAACAAUUCAAGCAUGACUGUAAUAGGAAAGGGUAACAUCAGGUUACAAGUGAAUGGAACAACACAAAUUAUUACCGAAGUUUUCUAUGUACCUGAAUUGAAGAGCAACCUGUUGAGCAUUGGGCAAUUGCAAGAAAAGGGGCUUACUGUUCUGUUCCAACAUGGAAGGUGCAAGGUGUUUCAUCAUAAGAGAGGUUUGAUCAUGGAUACAAAGAUGUCUGCAAAUCGAAUGUUUAUAUUGCAAGCUAUUUCUAAACCUAUAACAUCUGUUUGUUUCAAUACAAUUACUGAGGAUCUGGUGUAGCUCUGGCACUGCAGAUAUGGACAUUUGAGUUUUACGGGUUUAAAAACUCUUCAACAAAAGGCAAUGGUGAAUGGUUUACCACAACUUAAAACUCCUUCAAGGCUAUGCAAGGACUGUUUGGUGGGCAAGCAGCACAGGGAUUCAUUUCCAAAAAGAAGCAGCUGGAGAGCUUUCCAAAUCCUUCAGUUGUUACACGCUGAUAUUUGCGGACCGAUCAAACUGAUCUCCAACAGCAAGAAACGGUAUUUACUUACCUUUAUUGAUGAUUUCAGUAGAAAAACAUGGGUUUUCUUUUUGACAGAAAAUCCGAAGCCUUUGAUGUUUUCAAAAGAUUUAAGAUCCGAGUGGAAAAAAAGACAAACACUCCACUUCAAGCACUGCGAACUGAUCGAGGAGGAGAGUUUACAUCACAAGAAUUCAAUAAUUUUUGUGAUGCAAAUGGUAUACAGAGACAGUUGACAGCAGCAUACACACCACAACAAAACGGAGUCGCAGAACGAAAGAACAUGACCAUUAUGAAUAUGGUACGAAGCAUGAUUUCAGAAAAAAGAGUCCCCAAAACCUUCUGGCCUGAAGCAGUCAACUGGACGAUACAUAUUCUAAAUCGAAGUCCAACAUUUGCUGUGAGAAAUAUGACUCCGGAAGAAGCGUGGAGUGGAAUCAAACCUUCGGUAGAGUAUUUCAGAGUCUUUGGCUGCAUCUCUCAUGUUCAUGUGCCUGAUAGCAAACGAACAAAACUAGAUGAUAAAAGUCAGAUUUGUAUUCUGUUGAGAGUAAGCGAGGAGUCGAAGGCUUACCGGCUUUAUGAUCCUAUUUCACAAAGGAUUAUUAUAAGUCGAGAUGUUGUGUUCGAGGAAGACAAAAGCUGGGAUUGGGACAAUAAGUAUGAGGAAGCAAUUGCAUGUGAUUUGGAAUGGGGUGAUCGUGAGGAAAAAGUGGUGGAGAUCGACAGAAAUGUAGGGAGAAGUGAAUCUAAUUCUGAUGCUAAUAUUGAAGAAGGGGAGAAUUUUUCCUCUGAUUCUCCAGCCGAGGAAAGCUCACCUAGCUCGAAUGAAGGGAGAAUUAGGAGACCACCAGCUUGGAUGCAAGACUAUGAGACAGGAGAGGGACUAUCUGAAGAAGAAGUUCAGUUGGCCAUGUUUGCAACUGCUGAUCUUAUUCAUUUCGACGAUGCCGUAAAAAGCGAGAAAUGGAGGAAAGCCAUGGAUGUGGAAAUAGAAGCAAUAAAACGGAAUGAUACAUGGGAAUUGACAGAAUUACCUGAAGGUGGAAAGAAAAUUGGAGUGAAAUGGGUUUACAAAACCAAGUUUAAUGAGAAUGGUGAAGUUGAUAAACACAAGGCAAGGCUUGUAGUGAAGGGGUACUCUCAGCAACAUGGGGUAGAUUAUACAGAAGUAUUCGCACCUGUAGCACGUAUGGAAACAAUUCGUUUGGUAGUAGCUCUUGCAGCUCAAAAAGGAUGGGCUAUCUAUCAGCUAGAUGUUAAGUCGGCAUUUCUAUAUGGUGAGCUGAAUGAAGAGGUUUUUGUGGAACAGCCGCUUGAUUAUGUGAAAAAGGGUUAUGAACACAAGGUUUAUAAAUUAAAAAAAGGCACUCUACGGCCUUAAGCAAGCACCGCGUGCUUGGUAUAGCCGUAUAGAAGCUUAUUUUUUGAAAGAGGGUUUUGAGAAAUGUGACUAUGAACAUACUCUGUUCAUCAAAACAGAGAAAGAAGGGAAAUUUUUUAUUCUGAGUUUGUAUGUAGAUGAUCUCAUCUUUACGGGCAAUGAUGAAUUGAUGGUCUCAGAAUUUAAAAGUUCCAUGAAACAUGAGUUCGAUAUGACUGAUCUUGGCAAAAUGAGGUAUUUUCUUGGUCUUGAAAUCUUGCAGAAUUCAAGAGGUGUGUUUAUCAGUCAGAAAAAAUAUGCGUUACAGGUGCUGCAAAAGUUUGGGAUGGAUGGAAGCAACUCAGUUCAAAAUCCAAUUGUUCCAGGUUGUAAACUUGUGAAGGAUGAAAGUGGUGUUAAGGUUGACAAAAUUUAUUUCAAACAAAUUGUGGGUAGUCUCAUGUAUCUUACAGCUACUCGACCGGAUGUGAUGUUCGUAGUGGGUUUUAUCAGUAGGUACAUGGAGAAUCCUACUGAGCUUCAUCUCCAAGUAGCUAAAAGGGUGCUGAGAUAUUUGAAGGGAACACUUGAUUUCGGAAUUUUCUAUAAGAAGGGAGGAAAUAAUGAACUCAUUGCUUACACUGAUAGUGAUUAUGCUGGGGAUUUAGAAGAUAGAAAAAGCACUUCAGGUUAUGUUUUUUUGUUGAGCUCAGAAGCAGUAUCUUGGCUAUCAAAAAAGCAACCAAUAGUGAGUCUCUCCACUACUGAAGCUGAAUUCAUUGCUGCGGCUUCUUGUGCAUGUCAAACAGUUUGGUUGAAAAGGGUGUUGGAUAAUUUGGGUCUGAAGCAAGGUAAGACAACUAUUAUUCAGUGUGAUAGUAGUUCUGCAAUCAAACUUUCGAAGAACCCAGUAAUGCAUGGUCGAAGUAAGCACAUAGAUGUGCGUUUUCAUUUUCUUCGGGAGCUUACAAAGGCUGGUACUGUAGAAUUGGUCUAUUGCAGCACACAAGAACAAUUAGCCGAUUUAAUGACUAAGCCACUCAAGCUGGAUGUCUUCCUAAACCUGCGUGCAUCAUUAGGAGUUUGCUCUGAAACUGAUGUAAACUGAUGCAUUAGCAUUCAGUUUAAGGGAGGAAAUGUUGAGUUGAUUUUGUUACUACUUAGUCAAAAUAAAAUUCCUAUUGUUAAGGGUGACGUUAUUUGUUAAUUUUAGUCUUCCAUGUCUUUAGGAGUCAGUUAAACUUGGUUCCUGUUUUGUUGCUUGGUUCGUUAUGUAAGACUAUUUAAUAGCCAAAGUUAUUCUCAUUUUANNNNNNNNNNNNNNNNNNNNNNNNNNNNNNNNNNNNNNNNNNNNNNNNNNNNNNNNNNNNNNNNNNNNNNNNNNNNNNNNNNNNNNNNNNNNNNNNNNNNNNNNNNNNNNNNNNNNNNNNNNNNNNNNNNNNNNNNNNNNNNNNNNNNNNNNNNNNNNNNNNNNNNNNNNNNNNNNNNNNNNNNNNNNNNNNNNNNNNNNNNNNNNNNNNNNNNNNNNNNNNNNNNNNNNNNNNNNNNNNNNNNNNNNNNNNNNNNNNNNNNNNNNNNNNNNNNNNNNNNNNNNNNNNNNNNNNNNNNNNNNNNNNNNNNNNNNNNNNNNNNNNNNNNNNNNNNNNNNNNNNNNNNNNNNNNNNNNNNNNNNNNNNNNNNNNNNNNNNNNNNNNNNNNNNNNNNNNNNNNNNNNNNNNNNNNNNNNNNNNNNNNNNNNNNNNNNNNNNNNNNNNNNNNNNNNNNNNNNNNNNNNNNNNNNNNNNNNNNNNNNNNNNNNNNNNNNNNNNNNNNNNNNNNNNNNNNNNNNNNNNNNNNNNNNNNNNNNNNNNNNNNNNNNNNNNNNNNNNNNNNNNNNNNNNNNNNNNNNNNNNNNNNNNNNNNNNNNNNNNNNNNNNNNNNNNNNNNNNNNNNNNNNNNNNNNNNNNNNNNNNNNNNNNNNNNNNNNNNNNNNNNNNNNNNNAUUACUACUACUACUACUACUACUACUACUAUUACUAUGCCCAAAAAAUCAAUUUCCCUCUCAAAAAUCUUUUAUUUUUUAUGUACAUUAUAAUAUUUAUGUUUUAAAUAUUAAUUAAAUCAAAUAUGUAGAGCUUAUUAUUUUUCUUUAAACAAAAAAAUUAACAAGAUCACCUAAUUUAUUAUUAAAAUAAAAAUAAUCAAACUAAUUAAAUAAUAAAAAUAAUUAUUCAUUACUUAAUUUUAAAUUAAUGGAAAUUAUUCCAAUAAUAAUUCUUUAAAAUAUUCCUACCGAACGUAUUUUAUUUUUUUCAUUUUUAAAAUUAUUUUUGAAAAUGAUACGAAACACAUUUUUAAUUUUUAUAAAUAAAUUUAAAUAACAUUUUCAUUCUCAUUUUUGUUUCAUAAAAACAAUAUUUAGAAAACAAAUACCGAGCCUAAAUGACUCCAAUUUUGAUUCUUCAAUCAGCCCCUAGUUAGUUCAAAAGAGAUAGUAAUUCUCUUUAAAGUAUAUAAAAUUCUCACACACAUAUAUAAAUUUAUGAACUAGAGGCGUGAUAAAUAAUGAUCGAUUUUUACAAGUGGACAUUGUAAUUGCUUUGUUACAAAAUAACAUCGUUUAGCAAUAAUUCACCUAAUAAUUUUCAUGUAAGAAAGUAUAUGUGUGUGUGUAUAAAACUAAUAUGUAUAAAACUAACUUUGUGUAAACAUAUCUUAUUUAGAAUAUUAUACUUGUAUAUAUGUGUAACAAACAGAAAGAGGAUACCUCAGAGACCAUGUCGUUUAACACCAUUCCCAAAAGCUCGAAGAUACCAGUAUGAUAUUUAUCAUUACCUAAAAAGUUAAGAACCAUACGACCUCCAGUCUUCAACUCUUAUGACCAAAAUUUGAGAAAUGAUGUGAAAUCACUCUCAAAUUGAUCCAAAAACACUUUAGGCACACUAGGAGGGUUAUAAAUUUUUGCUAGGCAAACAUCCCUUUUAUUCAAUAAAGGAAUUCUACGUUCACUUACUAGCUCUGUGGGUACCUAUUAAAGCAUAAAAUUGAGGUAUUAAUAAGAAUAUGAUUUUGUACACUAUUUAUAUAAGUUUUCAAUUUCUUAUUAUCUUUAAAAAGAAUAAAUGGAACAGGUUCGUCCACCCGAGAGAGCCAGUGAUGGCAGAAAGAAGAGUAAACUAAGUUUAGGAAACACGGAAGAAAUAGCCUUCCUUAGAAAGGACCAGGGGAAAAAUGAACCAAAAUCUUCAUGGCCUUUCGUUGUCUUCAAUCUCUUAUAAAAGCUGGGAGAGAUUUGGAAACGGUAGUAAAAGCAUGCAAUAUUGGUGGCUUAUGUUUCAAGCGGCUGCAAAUAGUGUCCUGUACCUCUAUAGCUUGCCAUGUUGGUAAAAAUACAUUAGGCCCUGAAGAACAACCCCAUAUCUGUAAGUCUGAUGCGAUCUGGGAAGCCAUUGCAAUACAAGUCAAAUGAGCUUUCAUUUAGUAAAGGCUUUGCUUUCAAGGUUGCUUCCCUCUGAGAAAAAAAGGGAAAAGAAAAGAAAAUCUAUAAACAGAAGAAAUUAGAGUGUGAAGCAUCGAGAGAGAGAGAGAGAGAGAGAGAGAGAGAGAGAGAAAGAGAGAGAGAGAUUGAUGUUUAGAUAUUGACCGAAUGAGCUGAGUUGUUUGCUUAGCUGUUAUCUCCAUUCUCCUUCAUUCAUGAAUUGUCAAAAAAAAAAAAUGAUUUGGAUUUCGUCCCCUCUACUUUUUAAUGAAAAAACAUAUUGAAAUAUAAUUGAAGUUGCUGUAUAGUUUUGUUUUGCUACUCUACAAUCUCUUCAAAGAAAAUAAGCAAAGCCAACAAAGAAAUAUUUGGAAAUUGACAACAGAUACAUUAAUGCAACCCGAAUUGUCAAAAGAUGUCAUUAUAUUUUUAAGAAUAAUUAUAGAAUCACAAGCAUUUUUACGGACAAUCUUUUAUAGAUUGGGUCAAGAUGAUCGGUCAACAAAAAUAUUAAAUUUUAUUUUCCACAUUCAUUUGUAUAAUAAUAUUUAUACGAACAUAUUUAUUAUUGUAGAAAAUAGGGUAAACGCUCGUUUCAUCCCUAUAUUUUAAAAUUAGUGCUUAUUUAGUCCAUAUAUUUUUAAAAAUACCUCAAAAUAUCCCUACCCUUAAAUUAUUGACAUCCCUGCUGUUACUUUUUAUUUUUUUGACUUGCUUUUACAAUAUUAUCCUUUUACAAUAAUGUUUCUUUUUAUAAAAUUAAUAAAAAGAAAAAAAAUUAAAUUAUCAAUUUAACCCCAAAAAUAAAAUAAAAACAAAAAGAAUAUAUAUUAAUUUUUGUGAAAGCUUACAUGCGUCCAAAAAAUUUUUAUUGUAAAAAUAAUUAAAUUACCUUUUUUUGGACAUUAGUAAUAAAAAAAUUAAUAUAUUAAUUCUUCAAUAGUGUGUUACAAAUAAGUAACAUAUAUUAAUUUUGUUUCUAUUUUAUUUUUUGAGAUUAAAUUGAUAAUUAAUUUUUUUUCUUUUUACUAAUGUCCAAAAAAAUAUUGUAAGAGAGUAAUAUUGUAAAAAUUAAGCGAAAAGCAACAAAAAGUAAGAGGAAAUGUGUUAAUAAUUUAAUGUCGGGGAUGUUUUGAGGUAUUUUUAAAAAUAUAGGGACUGAACGAGCACUAACCUUAAAAUAUAAGGACUAAACGAGAUUUUACCCCAGAAAAUAUAAAGUAGUCAAUAAAGCGCUAAGUGUUACCCCCAACAAGUGUGCGUCCCCAAGAAUGGGGAGCAGGAAUUCUACUCCCAGGGUUCCAUCCCCAGGAUUGGGGCCUUAGAAAAUAUGCUCCCAGGAAUGGGGGCAGUGGUUACAGCUCUAGGAAUGGGCCCUAGAAAGUGUACUCCUCCAAGAAUGGGGAGUAGGGAUUCUACCCCAGGGUUCCACAAACAGGAUUGGGGCCUUAGAAAAUAUGCUCCUCCAAAUGGGGAGUAGAGGUUCUACCUUCAGGAAUGAAACCUAGAAGCUGUGCUCCCUUAAGAAUGGGAAGCAGAGAUUCUACCCCAGGGUUCCACCCCCAAGAUUGGGGCUCCAGAAAAUAUGCUUCCCUAAGAAUGGGAAAUAAAGAUUCUACCUCCAGGAAUGGGUCUUAGAAAGUAUGCUCCCCCAAGAAUGGGGAGCAGGGAUUCUACCCCAAGAUUCUACCCUAGGAUUGGGCGUCCAAAAAAUUUUUAUUGUAAAAAUAAUUAAAUUACCUUUUUUUGGACAUUAGUAAUAAAAAAAUUAAUAUAUUAAUUCAGCAGUGUGUUUCAAAAAAGUAACAUAUAUUAAUUUUUUUUCUAUUUUAAUUUUUGAGAUUAAAUUGAUAAUUACACUAACCUUAAAAUAUAAGGACUAAACGAGAUUUUACCCCAGAAAAUAUAAAGUAGUCAAUAAAGCGCUAAGUGUUACCCCCAACAAGUGUGCGUCCCCAAGAAUGGGGAGCAGGAAUUCUACUCCCAGGGUUCCAUCCCCAGGAUUGGGGCCUUAGAAAAUAUGCUCCCAGGAAUGGGGGCAGUGGUUACAGCUCUAGGAAUGGGCCCUAGAAAGUGUACUCCUCCAAGAAUGGGGAGUAGGGAUUCUACCCCAGGGUUCCACAAACAGGAUUGGGGCCUUAGAAAAUAUGCUCCUCCAAAUGGGGAGUAGAGGUUCUACCUUCAGGAAUGAAACCUAGAAGCUGUGCUCCCUUAAGAAUGGGAAGCAGAGAUUCUACCCCAGGGUUCCACCCCCAAGAUUGGGGCUCCAGAAAAUAUGCUUCCCUAAGAAUGGGAAAUAAAGAUUCUACCUCCAGGAAUGGGUCUUAGAAAGUAUGCUCCCCCAAGAAUGGGGAGCAGGGAUUCUACCCCAAGGUUCCUCCCCAGGAUUGGGGCCCCAAAAAAUACGCUCCCCCAAGAAUGAGAAGUAGAGGUUCUACCUCCAGAAAUGGGCCCUAGAAAGUAUGCUCCCCCAAGAAUGGGGAGCAGGGAUUCUACCCCAAGAUUCUACCCUAGGAUUGGGGCCCCAAAAAAUAUGCUCCCCCAAGAAUGGGGAGUAGAGAUUCUGCCCCCAGGAUUCCACCCUGGGGCCCCAGAAAAUAUGCGCCCCCAAGAAUGGGAAGUAGAAGUUCUACCUCCAGGAAUGAACCCCAGAAAGUGUGCUCCCCCAAGAAUGGGGAGCAAGAUUUUACCCUCAGGAUUGGGGCCCCAGAAAAUAUGUUCCCCUAAGAAUGGGGAGCAGAGGUUUCACCUCCAGGAGUGGGCCCCAGAAAAUAUACUCCCCCAAGAAUAUGGAGCAGAGGUUUCACCUCUAGGAAUGGGCCCCAGUGUGCUCCCCAAGAAUGGGAAUAAGGAUUCUACCCCAGGAAUGGGCCUAAGAAAAUAUGCAGGAAUUAUACCCUUAAGACCCCCAGAAGCCAUGCUCCCCAAGAAUGGGGAACAAGAAUCAUGUUCCCCCAGGAACAUAGAGCAAGAAUUAGGUUCCCCAGGAACAGGGAGCAGGAGUGGAGGAUGGCAAAAAUCAUGGUUCCAGACAGCCCUUGACUCAGUUCUAGAUUAUGGAUCGCACAAGAAAAGUCAAGUCCGAGUAGAGGAGCUAUCGUUGAAGGACAAUAGAAGGGCAUUGCUUGGCCUAGAAGCAAAUUAAGUAGAGUUUGACUCAGAUACAACUUAUGAAAAGGUAGAAAUACUUUGUAAUUAAAAUCCUAGAGGAUAGAGGAAAGUUAGAUAGAGUUCAAGUUAGAAAAGGACUUUAUCUAUAGAAGACUAUAAAAGCAGAGGUCUCUCAUAGUGUAAGGCAUCGAAAAAAAAAAAUAGCAAAGAGAGAGAAAGUCAAGUUGUAAGUGCGAUCUUAAUAAAAUAUUUAUCUUUCUCUACCCGUGGACGUAUGCCAAAAGCCGAACCAUAUUAAGUCUCUGUGUCUUUUCAUUAUAUCGCCCCCGCGUAAAUUAAUUUUCUAAGUUGACUAGAAAUAUGCAUCAACAUUUAUGAUUAUAUUAUUACUCUAUUUUUUAAGGGCACAAGUGUAUCUCAAUGGUGUUUAUAGAAUUAUAUAUAGAUGAUUCUUUCAACAUAUAUAUUCACAAGUAUAAUUUAUUAAAUGAUUUUAUGAUUUGUCAGGAUUAUCCUUUUGAAUAUUUCUUUUUGUAUCUAUGAAGGACACAUAUUCAUAAUAUGUAUGUUAUUUGAGAUAACCUACUAAAAGGCAAAGUUAUGAUAACAUAGUGGUUUCUUACCCCGAGUCUCCAUCAUUUUGUUAAUUCAUGGAAAAUUAUGGUGUGUUUUGUCACGGAAUGAGUAUAUUGCACAACAAACCCAUGCAGUGCUUAUGCAACUAUAGCCCAACAUUUGCAAAGUAAACCUAUUAAGCUUCUCGUCUAGUUAAAAGUAUGCGAAAUUGCUUACGAAAGAGCUAGAGAGAAAAGCGAGCAAUUGAGACAAAGAGAAUCAGUGUUAUUCACAAGAGUGUGUGCACAAGAGAGCUUGAUAGCUUGCAAGAUUACUUGCUUGAGUUGCUUGCUGAAAAUGCUAAGCGCCAUACUUUAUUUAUAAAGAAGUUUGCUUAGUUCUAUAAGGUUCUAACUCUAAAGAGUUCUCAAGACUUAGUGAGAGCUCUCGUACCUAGCAAAGCUUAGAUUGAUAUAGGAAAAUCUAUGUACAAACUAUAUGUUACAAUACUCUAGCAAAAUCUGGAGAUUUCUUAGUUAUGUACAAGUGAGAAUAUACUAGAAAAGACUAGUGAUAGAAGCUUCUAGAAUCAAGCAAAACUAACACACCUUGGCUUAUAGAUUUAACCUAUUCGGCCUAAAAUUUCAGGUGGUUCACGACAGUUUGCUACAGUUUUUGGAUUAGUGCUUUAUGUUUUAAAACAAGAAAAAAAAGAAAAAAAGAAAAGGCGUUUUGGUGGCAUUGUUUUUCUGCCUAUUUUCACGUUGUGUGAGAAUGAGUGCAACUCAUUUAAAAACUUGUCACAGUAAAUUGAAAAAUAAUAAUUUACUAUUACAUAGACAGUGUUCUAAUUCUGGGACCCAUGUUAAACAAAAGUAAAACAUACAUAAAUAGUGUGUGGGUGUAAAUUGCAUGAAUGUAACUUAUCAUUUACCAUAAAAUAUAGCUAUUUAUUUUACUGUGCGUGCACAUAAACUAUUGUUUCAACCAUUUUUUUAUUUUAUUAUUUUUAAUAAUAUAAUAUUAUUAUUUUCAAAGAACAAACAAUCAAACAUAUAUUUGAUUAAUUUUAUUUUUAAAUAUUAUUUUAAAUUAAGCUAUCAAAUAUGUUUUUUUUAUUCACCAAAAUUAAUUACUUUUAUAUCAUAAAAUAAAAUAAGUACAAAAAUAUAAUUUAAAAAAUAAUACCAAAACAAAACUUAGUUGUGUUCAAUCAAAAUCAAAUGUGACCCACGAAAUAUAAAGCAUAGCCAUUUACUUUACUGUGCACGCAUAUAAACUACUGUUUCAACAGUUUUUUUAUUUCUUAAUUUUUAAUAUGAUAUUAUUGUUUUUAACAAACAAAUAAAUAGACAUAUGUUUGAUUGAUUUCAUUUUUAAAUAUUAUUGUAAAUCAAGCUACCAAAUAUGUUUUUAUAUUCAAAAAAAUUAAUUAUUUUUAUAUUAUAAAAUAAAUACAAAAAUAUCAUUUAAAAAAUGAUACCAAUAAAGAACUAGCACGUGUUUAAUUGAAUCAAAUGUGACCCACGAAAUGUUUACUUUACUAAGCACGCAUAUAAACUACUGUUUCAAAAUUUUUUUAUUUUUUUAUUUUUGUUGUAUCAAAAUUAUAAUAAGCCUAAAAAAAAGCCCACAUGAGUAUAGGCCAAAUAAGAAGUGACCUAGGUCCAUUUUAAAUCAAACGCCUAAAGAGCAAUUUUUGGGCAAAAACGCUAAAGGUAAGUUUCUACAAAACGUGACCUAAAUCGAUUUUUUACAAAAGCGACAUAAGUCUACUCUUUAUAAAGAAGGACCUAGGUCCAUUUUAAAUAAAACGCCCAAAGGGCAACUCUUCGACAAAGCGCUAAAGGUAAGUUUCUACAAAAAGUGACCUAGAUCGAUUUUAUACAAAGAGCGACCUAGGUCCACUCUUUAUAAAGAAGGACAUAAGUCCAUUUUAAAUAAAACGCCCAAAGAGCAACUCUUUGGCAAAGCGCCAAAUGUAUAUUUCUGCAAAGAACGACCUAGGUCCACUCUUUAUAAAGAAAGACCUAGGUCCAUUCUAAGUAGAACGCCCUUCGAAAAAGUGCCAAAGGUAUGUGUCUACAAAGAGCGACUUAUGUCCAUUCAUUAUAAAGAAUGACCUAGGUCCAUUUUCUACGAAUAAUGACCUAGAUGUUCAACAAUUACUUGGAAGUAACAUUCUACGAAAGUUACAUACAUGCGAUUGCUAGGUCAUUAUAAAGAAUGACCUAGGUCCAUUUUAAAGAAUUACUUGUAACCUUCGUAGAUGUUCAGCAAUUACUAGGUGAUUAUAAAGAAUGACCUAGGUCCAUUUUCUACGAAUAAUAAUCUAGAUGUUCAGCAAUUACUUGGAAGUAACAUUCUACGAAGGUUACAUACAUGCGAAAUUCCACAAAACCAAUCCUCUUUAAAAGGAAACAACAUAAGGGCUGAAGUGCUUAAGCCCAACGAAUGUUAAGAGCUUGAAAUCAUGACAAGUGUUCAAAGAAAACUUGUCAAUGAGCAAGCUUGACAUGUAAUGAUAGGUGUCUUUAUACAUGAGUUUUGCGGACACUUGUCACUAAAAAAAUACCACGUGUCGUGAUGACACCUUCACCUCAUUAAUCAAAUUGCCUAUAUAAUGAUCAAAACUUCCCAUAUCAGAGGCCAAGAGAAAAAGGGCAACGAAAUGUUGUCCUUCUUUCUUUAAAUUCUCUUUUUAUAAUCAAAAUUGAAAUGCUGACUUAAGCGUCAGAGGGUCAUGGCCGGCAACCCUGACACCCUUUGACAAUUUCAUUUCUUUUGCAGAACCUUUGACAAUAGAAACUUUCAUAUCAUGGAGAGAUGAUUCACAAAGCUUAAUAUAGAAAUGAAUCUGAAGUAAAAAGUUAAUAUGUGUCGAGCAAAAAAUUGCAUUGACAGCUGGCGCCGUUUGUGGGGAUGAAUAAAAAGCCAAUGUGAUCAUCUUGAGCAUGGAUGACAACUAUAACUACUUCGAGCUUGAUGCUGAUGAUGAAAUUUCUAGGGAUGGCAAGAUUUAUUUUUGACGACAAAGAUAUGUUGUAGAUCCUGGAAGUGAAUCUACAGUCCCAAUACAUCCACCUAACCUCUAAUAAAAUCCAAAUCAACAAUUUGAUGCAUAACAUCUAUAGCCAGAUCCAAACGUUUAGCCUCGUCGCCAAGGUGCGGCAGGAUUGCCCGACUUUAAAGGCAAAUAGAGCAGCUGACAAUAAACUUCAAUAGAAUGUUCGAUUAAUUUCAAGCCCGAAAUGAUGAACAAGCUAACUGCAACAACUUUGAUAGCAAUGCAGCAAACUCCGGCUCUUCCCAGACAAGAUCAAAAAAUGAUUUGAAUGAUGAUAAUUUGAAACAUGCUCUCAAUCAGAGACGGACACGACAAAGAGCAACUUGAGAUAAUAAUGAGCCAUCUGAUUUACAAGAGAGAAUGCAAAGGCUUAAACAAAUGGUUCAUGGAAUGAGACCACAAGACGAUAUGAUGGCUGAGUCUGAACCACCAUUUACACAAGAAAUCAUGAGAGCUAGAUAACCGUCAGGGUUUUGACUUCCAUUAAUGGAGCCUUACGACUGACAAAUGGAUCUUAUGGUGCAUGUCGAGCUAUAUCACUCUUUUAUGGAAGUUCAUGACGUGUCUUUGGCCAUUUUAUGUCGGGCUUUUCUUCUCACUUUAUCUAGGGCUGCAAGAAGGUGGUUUCAAAGGUUAAAGCCAAACUCUAUUUCUUUAUUCAAAUUGAUCCGAGAAUUUAUGAUGCAUUUUUGUAGUGCAAGACAAAGAGGAAAACCAAUUACAUGCCUCUUGACAGUGAAACAAUAUAAGGGUGAAUCGUUAAGGGAGUAUGUUCAAAGGUAUAAUGCUGAGACCACUCAAAUGGAUGGAUAUGAUGAUGGGGUUGCUCUUUCCAGGUUAAUGGAAGGCCUACAGAUAGGAAGACUAUGGUGGUCAGUAAUAAAGAAUCCACCAUCAAUAUAUUAAGAGAUGCUCUCUCAGGCUUAGAAAUAUGCUAAUGCAGAAGAAAGAUUUCAAAGUAAGAAAAGGCGAGGAAAAGGUGAAUCAAGUAAAAAAAAAAAGAAGAAGGAAGACAGGUGUGAUGUAACACUUGGACGACCCGAUCAAGCUUCUAGAGGGGAUCAAUUCCGCCCUAAGGACAAACUUAGCUCUCAAGAGCCUCUUUUUUGGCCUCAUAUACAAUUUACUAACUAUAAUGAGUUGAAUGCUCCUAGGGAGCACAUUUUGAUGCAAGUGAAAAAUUCCACUUUGUUUAAAGCUCCUCCUCCACUGAAAUAUGAUCGUUCACGGAGAAACCAAAAGAAGUAUUGCGACUUUCAUAAAGAUGUUGGACACGAUACAUCUGAGGUUUUGACCUCAAAGAACAAAUUGAAAGUUUGAUGUGACAAGGUCAGCUACAAGAAUAUGUCAAAGGCCAAAGUAGUCGAGAAAAUAAAGACCUACAAAAAUAUUUAAGAAAAGACAAAGCGAAAAAGAAAGAAAAUGAUAGUGAUGAUAAUAUGUCUGAUGUCAACCAUAUUUGGGGUAGUCCUCUUGCUGGUAAUUCUGGCAAGGUGAGGAAGAACUUAGCCAGGCAAAUAAGGCAUGAGCCUAGUGGGCUGGAAAUAAAUUUAACAGAUCGCCUACAGAAUUCAAGGUUUCAUGACACUCCAAUAAUGUUUUCUAAAGAGGACACUCAGGGCAUUCAUCACCCUCAUUGUGUGCCAUUGUUGUAACUCUACUUGUGGCAAACAAGCGACUUCACCGAAUCUUAAUUAAUAAUGGAAGCUCAGUUGAUAUAUUAUUUCUUUCAGCUUUUGCAAAAAAUGGGAUUGGAAAGAUCCUAAUUAAUGCCAUACAUUACUCCAUCGCAUGGAUUUGCUGGGGGAAGUGUUAUCCUUGAGGGAAUGAUUGAGCUUGUUGUAUCCUUUGGUAAAACUCCGACUAAAGUUACUUCUAUGGUUCAAUUUAUAGUGGUAGAUCAACCGAGUGCAUACAAUUCAGUCUUAGGUCGACUAACCUUAUAUGCUAUUAAAGGCCGCAACUUCUAUUUAUCAUUAUACUUUGAAGUUUCCUACGGAGGCUGGCAUAUGAGUGUUCGAGGAAAUCAGAAAGAGGCUUGUAAAUGUUAUGAGAUUUCCUUCAGGAAAAGAAAUGAGUCAUUUCAAAUCACAAGUCUGGACCCCAAAACAGUAAGGGAUGAUUAACAAGCGAAUCCCAUUGAAGACUUGGUCGAGAUUCCCCUUGGAGAUGAUUCAACAAGGUAGUUAAAAUUGGGUCCUAAUUAGUCAAUCCACUUUGAGAAGAACUUGUGGAUUUCCUAAAGGAAUACUCAGAUGUGUUUGCAUGGACUCACCAGGAUAUGCCGAAAAUUGAUCCGAGGAUAAUUGUUCAUCGCUUAAGUACUAAGCCUCUUACAAAACAUGUUCGACAAAAGAUGAGAAGUUUGAAUGCUGAGAGAGCUGCAGCUGUUAAAGAUGAGGUGGACAAACUCUUAAAGGAAAAAUUUAUUAAAGAAACUAGGUAUCCACAAUGACUUGCAAACGUUGUCAUGGUAAAGAAAGCCAAUGGAAAGUGAAGGAUGUGCGUAGACUUUACUGACCUCAACAAGGCAUGUCCUAAUGAUCGCUUCCCUUUGCCACGAAUUGAUCAGCCUGUAGACGCCACAGCUGGGCAUGAACGUUUUAGUUUCAUGGACGCCUAUUCCGAGUAUAACCAAAUUCGGAUGCAUGAGCCUGAUCAAGAAAAUACUUCAUUCAUUACUGAUCGAGGCCUUUAUUGUUAUAAAGUCAUGCGUUUUGGGCUUAAGAAUGUUAGGGUAACCUAUCAAAGGCUCGUGGAUGCAAUGUUUGCCAAUCAGAUAGGUCACACAAUGGAAGUCUAUGUGGAUGACAUGCUGACAAAAAGCAAAAACUCAAUUGAUCGCAUCAGAAAUCUCCGUAAGACUUUUGAUAUUUUAAUGAACUUCAAGAUAAAGCUUAAUCCAGCUAAAUGUGCCUUUGAAGUGGCCUCAGGAAAGUUUUUAGGCUUUAUGGUAAAUUAAAGAGGAAUUGAAGUUAACCCUGAAAAAAUCCAAGCCUUGGUCAACAUGAAGUCACCAAAGAAUGUGAAAGAAAUCCAGCAGGUAACUGGGUUAGUUGAUGCUCUAGAUCGUUUUGUCUCAAAGGUUAUUAACAAAUGCCUUCCUUUUUUUAAAGCCUUAAAGAAAAUGAAAGAGAUGAUAUGGACUGAAGAAUGCAAAGAAGCGUUUCAGAAGCUAAAAGACUAUCUCAGCAAUCCACCGCUUUUAGUCAAACCAUCUAAGGGCGAGUUAAUUUACAUGUACUUAGUAGUUUUUAACUCAGCAACAAGUUCCAUUCUUGUUCGAGAUGACAAUGGAGUCCAAAGGCCGAUUUAUUACACAAGUCAAGCUUUGCCCGAUGCAGAGAUUCCAUAUUUAAAUUUAGAGAAUGUUGUUGUAACGCUAGUCAUUUCAGCGCAGAAAUUGCGACCAUACUUCUAAGCCCAUGAGGUCAUCGUAUUAACAAACCAACCAUUAAAACAGACUUUGGCAAAACCUGAUGUGCAAAACCUGAUGUGUUAGGAAGAUUGGUCAAAUCAGCAGUAGAGUUGGGUGAAUUUGAUAUCCAAUUUAAGUCUCGCACUUUAGUUAAAGGGCAAGCAGUAGCAGAUUUCAUUACAGACUUUACAGAAGUAGAAACUCCAUAUUCAGAAGUUAUGGGAGAACAAUUCGAGCAAUGGACUCUUUAUGUUGAUGGCACAUCUAAUAGUAAGGGCAGUAGAUGAGGAUUGAUUAUUAUCACAUGGAUAAAACAGAAAUUGAAUGUGCCCUGCGAUUCGGAUUUGAUGCAACUAAUAUAGAUGUCUUAGUCCAACUCGAAUCUACACCUGAAGGAAAUUUGUUGAGGUCAAUCCCAAUUGCUACGAUCCCAAAACCAAGUAUCAUACGACCAGAGGUUAAAGAAAUUGCGACUACAGAUCGAAGGGCAAUAUGGAUGGAGCCUAUUGAAAAGUAUUUGAUAAACAGGGAGUUACCAGCAGAUAAAAAUGAAGCUCGAAAAGUCAGACUUAGAGCUGCCAGAUACCUGUUUGUUGAUGGUGAACUAUACAAACGAGGCUUCUUUCUUCCGCUCUUGAAAUGUCUUGCUCUUGCGGAUGCAAAUUAUGUUUUAAGAGAAAUUCACGAGGGAAUAUGUAGAAACCACUUUGGUGGCAGAAUGCUAGCAUACAAGGCAAUAAGGCAAGGAUAUUUUUGGUCAAUCAUGCAUGAAGAUGCCCUUGAGUUGACGAAGAAAUGUGAUAAAUGUCAAAGGUUUGCUAAAAUUCCAAGUAGCCACUGGAAGACUUAAUUCCUUUGUUUUCACCUUGGCCUUUUGCCCAGUGGGGUAUUGAUCUUAUUGGCCCUUUGCAUACAGGAAAAGUCCAAGUAAAUUUUGGUAUUGUCGCUAUAGACUACUUCAUUAAGUGGGUCGAAGCAGAGCCUUUGGCAACAAUUACUGAAAAUAAGACAACAGACUUCAUUAAAAGAAACAUCAUUUAUAGAUUUGGAGUCCCUCAAACCAUCAUCACUGAUAACAGCAAGCAAUUUGACAAUGCCAGUUUUAAAGCCUUCUGUAAGGCCCUUGGCAUAACAAAUCACUAUUCCUCUCCAGCUCAUCCUCAAGCAAAUGGGCAAGUAGAGGCAACCAAUCGAGUGAUAAAGCAAACCCUCAAGAUUAAGCUUGAAAAAGCUAAAGGUGCUUGACUGGAAGAGCAUCCCUUUGUCCUAUGGUCAUACAAAACUACUCCAAGGAUACCCACCGGCGAAACCCCAUUCUCUCUGGCUUUUGGCACUGAAGCUGUAGUUCAUGUAGAAAUAUGAAUGCCAACUUAUUGAGUCCAACAUUUCAAUCUCGAGCGCAAUGAUGAUCUUCAACUUUAAAACUUAGAUUUCUUAGAAGAAAAACGAGAUCAAGCAAUGAUCAGAGUGGCUGCUUAUCAAGGGAGAGUGGCUCGAUAUUAUAAUGCUCGUGUAAAGAAUCAAUGUUUUAGAAUUGGAGAUUUGGUCUUGAAGAAAGUUCUUCCUAAUACGCAAGAUCCAGGGGUUAGGAAUCUUAGGCCAAAUUGGGAAAGACCUUACAUUAUGAAAGAUGUUGUAAGGCCAGGGACCUAUUCCCUUUAUACUCUUCACGCUAAUAUCCUGAGGCACGCUUGGAAUGUCGAGCACCUUAGAGUGUAUUAUCAGUAAAGUCUGAAAAAUUUUAUAAUCGAACAAGUUUUCUUAUUAACCUACGGACUAAUAAAAGAUUGGUUGCCUUAAAUUUCUUUUGUUAUUCUUAUAAUGAUAUUAUGCGAAGUGACAUUGCAUUAUGUUAAACUUGUAUAAUUCAUAAUGAGCACUUAGUCAAUUGUGAAUUCAAGUUACGAAAAGCUUAAAGGCUUGUUAUCGCAGAAGUUUUAUAAACAUAUAUGCAGUGUCAACCUAGAGAAAUUGUUAGAAAUAAUUUUCUAAGCAAAACGCCCACGGGAAAAUUGUAACAACGGGACCUAGGUCUUUUCUUGCAUAGGAUGACCUAGGUCCAAUUCCUUAGAAAUAAUUUUCUGAGGAAAACGCCUGCGAGAAAAUUAUGACAAAUGGACUUAGAUCUUUUCUUCCAUAAGAUGACCAGGUCCUUUAUUCCAUAGGAUGACCUAGGUCCAAUUCUUUAGAAAUAAUUUUUUGAGGAAAACGCAUGCGGGCAAAUUGUAACAAAGGGACCUAGGUCUAAUUCCUUAGAAAUAAUUUUAUAAGGAAAACACCCGUAGACAAAUUGCAACAAAGGGACCUAGGUCUUUUCUUGCAUAGAAUGACCUGUGCAAGAAAUGACCUAGGUCCAAUUCCUUAGAAAUAUUUUUUUUUUAGAAAACUACCCACAAGCAAAUUGUAACAAAUGGACUUAAGUCUUUUCUUGAAAAGAAUGACUUAAGUCCAAUCCAUUAUUUCUAAGGAAACUACCCAUAGGCAAAUUGUAACAAAAGGAUUUGGGUAUUUUCUUGUGAAAAAUGGCCUUGUUCUAGUUACUUAGAAAUGUUUUUCUAUGAAAAAUAUCGAUCGGCAAGUUGUAAUAAAAAGACGUAGGUCAUUUCUUUUAAAAGAAUGUCCUAAGUCUGAUUGCUGAUAAAAAUUUUUAAAUCAAACGUCUACAAGAAAAGAUCUAUAUAAAGGAAUGUAUGGUGUUAAGUCAAAUCGACUUCGAAUAAAAAUUACUUGGUCAAAAUUAAGAAAUUUUAGGCUAAACUUUCAUUAGGAAAAUAAAGCAUUUCAUGCUGCGAGUUACGCCGAAAAGAAGCCAAAAUUGCAGCCAUGAUUACAUCCGUAGAAAAUUAAAAUCCAACAAGAAAGAAAAAUUAAAAUGCUGAAAAAUGAUCUUAGGAACAAUCUAAGGAUCCAUGAUGUGUUCACCCUCCUCAACAUCCUUGCACAUCUCAUCAUCUAACUCAGGAGGACGAAGGUGAAGAUCUCCAUAGCAAUCAUCAAAACCCAGAGUCGCAGGUAAUAUGAUAUCUGAUGGUCAACCGAUGGGGACUUCAUUUCCGCCACUCGUGUACUCUUCAUACUCUUUAUUUCUAGCUUUUUCAAUUUCAGCUUGUGCUUCCAAAAGUUCAUCCUCAAAUUGUUCAUUUGACUCUUCAAGAUCUUUUACACGGGUUUCAAAACUAGAAAUCCUCUCAGCAUCGAGAGCAAUUAUUUCUUCAGCCUUUUUUUGCUCCUCUUUGGCUAAAUGCAACUGACUUUCAAUUGUUAACUUUUCUUUAUGGAGGGCAAUGAACUCAGAUUCUAAAUUCUUUUUAGCAGCAAGAGCUUGAGAUAGUUCUUUACUUGUGGCAGCAACACGAUCUUCGGCAGCCCUAACUCAUGUUUCAUAGGAUGAAAAAUGCUCCGAAUGCUACAAAAAAAUAAAAUAAAAAAUAAGGAGAGGCAGAAUAAAAAAUGAAGGGUAAACAUAAUGAAGGCAAAAGUUCUUUACCUUUAUAACAAGUCUCACUACAACCUUGAGAGACUCUAUGGCCCCCAAAUCCUUCACACUCGAUCCUCCAGCCUCACUUACAAAUUGGUCCCAAUCAACAUCAUCGGCUUGAUGAGCGCGAACUGGUGAUGAAUUAACACCUUAGGCAAGAACCGUAGAUGGAUCGAUGAUUUGAUCAACAGUAAAUUUUUUAGUCACUUCUUUCGGCAUCAAAGUUUGGACUAAUGUACCAUUAUUCUGAUCCUUUGUCUGUUGCUGGGAAGUAAAGCCCUUCUCCAUGAGUCGUGGCUUCUCCACGUUCUUUGUCUUAUCUGACAGUCUCAGCCUCUCAAUGGGUUUUGCCUUUUCAGAUAACCUUGGCCUUUUUCUUCUUUUUUUUCCUCCAACAGGUUCAUUAGUUGAAGAAUCCAUUAUACGUUUAGUUGACUGAAUGGAUAAUGGACUACUUGGAAUUAUGUGAUUCUCGGUGAAAAUAUUGAAUAAGCAUAGGAAGUUGCAAUCACGAUCUUCUGGAGGCAACUUUUGAGCUGACCUAAUGUUUUUCGCCUCUACUCCACGGAUCGUGGGUCUUUUCCAAAUAUCUACAAUUAAGAAGUGAAACUAAGGUUAGUAAAAAAAUUAAAUAUGUGCCACAUAAUAUAUAUAUAUAUAAAUCGCACUUGGUUCACGAAAGUGUGUUGGAACCCGAACCCGGGCAUCAACGACUUCAUCCCCAAACUCCCAAUUUCCACUAACCAAAAAAUAAAAAUGCUUCCACCUCUUGAUUGAGAUGUGAACAUGAUUAAGUAAAAUUUCAUUGGAAUCUUCAUAAGCUUUGAAGUGCCAAAUGUCAUAAGUUUUGGGGUUACGACAUAAAUGAAAUAGAUAUUGGAACUCGAUCACAGACGGAUCUGAAAAUCCAAGCUUCCUCCAUACAACCCACAUUCCAAUUAUCGCUCUCCAAGCAGUAAGAACUAGCUGAGCAGGAGCAGUCCAAAAGAAUGUAGAAGCUUUCAAAUAUUUGGGGCAAGAGGAAGAGAAGCUCCAACUUUGAACAUUGCUUUUGUAAACCCAACACAGCCAGUAGGGGGUUCGCUAAUCAAAUCACUCUCCAACAAGUUCAUUUCAAUAGAACGGGGAAUUUGGUACAUGAUCUGCAGUAUUUCGACACCGACCCAAGUAAGUGAAUUACUGCAAUUGUCCAUGGUCCACACACUAGAAGUCUUAGCGCAAUUUUUGUCAUACCAAACUUUAAAGUUAUUUUCCCCAUCCUCAGAUUCAAUUUUAACGCCUACAUGUUUGAAUGAAUCCUUACUACAAGUCUCGCCAUUGGUUGCUUCAGUUUCAGGUAACUUGGCCAUAUUAGGAACCUAUUAAUCAAACUCUAUGCGAAUUCUCAUGCUAAAAGCUAAGUCUUUGCAUACGAAAAUUAUAUAUGUGGUUACAUUUAUUUAAGUUUAUGUGAAUAAGCAUGCAAAAAUAAAUAAAUAAAUAAAAUGGCUAGAACUUUACACGUGUAUAUAUAUAUAUAUAUAUAUAGCCAUGCACUGAUUUGUGCAUCCACAUACAUCAUAUCAGAAGUUUCAAUAAACAUGCAUAUAACAUUUUAAUAUAUGCAUAUAUUAAAUUCAACAUGCAUGCAAAUAAUUAAAUCUUCACUUGCAUGCAAAUUGCUAAGUUUUCACAUGCAUGCAAAUUGUUGACGUUUCAUAUGGACAUUUUAUUAUAUGUCAAUAAAUGCAUUUUUUUAAAUAAAAAGAAAGAACGGAAAAAAUACCUUACAGCCGGAGAGACACCAAAAUUGAGCACUGCUCUGGCGCGAAUCCGUGAAACUCCUUCAAAAAAUGCUCACCCUCUUCACUAUAAAUUGAAAGAGUCUCCCUCUAAGGUAAAUUCUCUCAUUAAGUUUUUAGUAGUGCUUGUGAAUAUAUUAUGGAGUUUUGAGGGUUUUUAUAGAUGAGAGGAAGGGGAAUGCCAUAAGUCAUUUGUUGUAAUUGGGCAAGAAAAAACAAAGAUCAUCGGAAAUGAAAAAACAAAGAAAAUUAAUAGGAAAUGAUAUACAAUUUUUGAAUUUCAAAAAUUGAGUUAAGCCCGCACCCAUUGAAAAGCCAAGGCUGGAAGCCAUAAAAUGAUUCAAGCCUAACCUAAAGCACAUGAAGUAAAUAAUAGUAAUAAAUAAAGUCUAACUUCUCAAAUUUGAAAAAAUAGACUGGGGGCAUCUGUUGUACCAAAAUUAUAAUAAACCCAAAAAAAGCCCACAUGAAUAUAGGCUCAAUAAGAAGUGAUCUAGGUCCAUUUUAAAUAAAAUGCUCAAAGGGCAAUUCUUUGGCCAAGUGUUAAAGGUAAAUUUCUGCAAAAAAUGACCUAGAUCGAUUUUCUACAUAGAGCGACCUAGGUCCACUAUUUAUAAAGAAGUACCUAGGUUUGUUCUAAAUAAAACGUCCAAAGGGCAACUUUUUGACAAAACGCUAAAGGCAAGUUUCUACAAAAAGUGACUUAGAUCCAUUUUCUACAAAAAGAGACCUAGGUCCACUCUUUAUAAAGAAGGACCUAGGUCCAUUCUAAAUAAAAUACCCAAAGGGCAACUCUUCGGCAAAGCGCUAAAGAUAAGUUUCUACAAAAAAUGACCUAGAUCCAUCUUCUACAAAGAGCGACCUAGGUCCAAUUUUUAUUAGAGGUGGCCAUUGGGCCAGACGGCACGAGGCAUAGCACAGGCACAACACGUGUCCGUACAACAUGGCACGACACGAGUACAUUUCGGUAGAGCACGCGGCACAGCACGCACGUGGGCUAUGCCUAUGAUGCCUCCACCUCAUGAAUCAAAUUAUCCAUAUAAUGAUCAGAACUUCCCACAUCAGAGGCCAAGAGAAAAAAAAAAGGGUAACAAAAUAAUGUCCUUCUUUCUUUAAAUUCUCUUUCUAUAAUCAAAUUUGAAAUGCUGACUUGAGCAUCAGAGGGUCAUCGCCGGCAACCCCAGCACCCUUUGACAAUUCAUUUCUUUUUUGCAAAACCUUUGACAAUAGAAACUUUCAUAUCAUGGAGAGAUGAUUCACAAAGCUUAAUAUAAAAAGAAAUUUGUAGCAAAAAGUUAGUUAUUACGUGUCGAGUAAAAAAUUGCAAUGACAAUUUUUUUAAUAAUAUAAUAUUAUUAUUAUUUUCAACAAACAAGCAAUCAAACAUAUGCUUGCUAGAUUUCACUUUUAAAAAUUAUGUUAAAUUAAGCUAGCAAAUAUGUUUUUAUAUUCAUCAAAAUUAAUUAUUUUUAUAUUAUAAAACAAAAAUAAAAUUUUCAUUUAAAAAAUAAUACCAAAAAAGAACUUAGCAUGUGUUCAGUCGAAUCCAAAGUGACAGACCAAAUAUAAAAUAUAGCGCCUUUACUUUACUGUGCAUGCAUAUAAAUCACUGAUUCAGCAAUUUUUUUAUUUUAUUAGUUUUUAAUAAUAUAAUAUUAUUAUUUUCAACAAACAAAUAAUCAAAUAUAUAUUUGGUUGAUUUCAUUUUUAAAUAUCAUGCUAAAUUAAACUACCAAAUAAGUUUUAAUAUUCACCAAAAAUAAUUAUUUUUAUAUUAUAAAAUGCCCAAAGGGCAACUCUUCGGCAAAGCGCCAAAUGUAUAUUUCUACAAAGAACGACCUAGGUCCACUCUUUAUAAAGAAGGACCUAGGUCCAUUCUAAGUAGAACGCCCUUCAAAAAAGCGCCAAAGGCAUGUGUCUACAAAGAGCGACCUAGGUCCAUUCAUUAUAAAGAAUGACCUAGGUCCAUUUUCUAUGAAUAAUGACCUAGAUGUUCAACAAUUACUUGGAAGUAACAUUCUACGAAUGUUACAUACAUGUGAAAUGCUACAAAACCAAUCCUCUUUACGAGGAACCAACAUAAAAGCUGAAGUGCUCGAGCCCAACGAAGAUUAAGAGCUUGAAAUCAUGACAAGUGUUUAAAGAAGACUUGUCAAUGAGGAAGCUUGACACGUAAUGACAGGUGUCUUUAUGCAUGAGUUUUGCGGACACUUGUCACUAAAACAAUGCCACGUGUCAUUAUGAUGCCUCCACCUCAUGAAUCAAAUUAUCCAUAUAAUGAUCAGAACUUCCCACAUCAGAGGCCAAGAGAAAAAAAAAAGGGUAACAAAAUAAUGUCCUUCUUUCUUUAAAUUCUCUUUCUAUAAUCAAAUUUGAAAUGCUGACUUGAGCAUCAGAGGGUCAUCGCCGGCAACCCCAGCACCCUUUGACAAUUCAUUUCUUUUUUGCAAAACCUUUGACAAUAGAAACUUUCAUAUCAUGGAGAGAUGAUUCACAAAGCUUAAUAUAAAAAGAAAUUUGUAGCAAAAAGUUAGUUAUUACGUGUCGAGUAAAAAAUUGCAAUGACAAUUUUUUUAAUAAUAUAAUAUUAUUAUUAUUUUCAACAAACAAGCAAUCAAACAUAUGCUUGCUAGAUUUCACUUUUAAAAAUUAUGUUAAAUUAAGCUAGCAAAUAUGUUUUUAUAUUCAUCAAAAUUAAUUAUUUUUAUAUUAUAAAACAAAAAUAAAAUUUUCAUUUAAAAAAUAAUACCAAAAAAGAACUUAGCAUGUGUUCAGUCGAAUCCAAAGUGACAGACCAAAUAUAAAAUAUAGCGCCUUUACUUUACUGUGCAUGCAUAUAAAUCACUGAUUCAGCAAUUUUUUUAUUUUAUUAGUUUUUAAUAAUAUAAUAUUAUUAUUUUCAACAAACAAAUAAUCAAAUAUAUAUUUGGUUGAUUUCAUUUUUAAAUAUCAUGCUAAAUUAAACUACCAAAUAAGUUUUAAUAUUCACCAAAAAUAAUUAUUUUUAUAUUAUAAAAUAAAUACAAAAAUAUUACUGAAAAAAUAAUACCUAAAAAAGCUUAGCAUGUGUUCAAUCGAAUCAAAUGUGAGCCAUGGAAUAUAAAAUAUAGCUAUUUACUUUACUGUGCAUACAUAUAAACUGCUGUUUUAAUAAUUUUUUUGUUUAUUAUUUUUUAAAAAAUAUAAUAUUAUUAUUUUCAACAAACAAACAAUCAAACAGAUUUUAUUUUUAAAUAUUAUUUUAAAUUAAGCUGCCAAAUACGUCUUUAUAUUCACCAAAAUUAAUUAUUUUUAUAUUAUAAAAUAAAUAAAAAAUAAUACCAAAACGUAGGGAUGGCAAAAUAACCCGGACUCGGCCCGGGCCCGGACGAAUCCGGAUAAUUCGGGCUAGGUUGAACCCAUAUGGGAGUGUAAAAAAAUCUGGAUCCAGAAUAAAUUUUAAUAAUCUGGAUGGAUCAAGGUCCGAUUCCGAGUUUGGGAUAACCCGUAUAUCCGGAACCCAGACCCAGAUAUUCUUAUUUUAGCAUAAUAUUUAAAUAAUUUUUUAAUAUAAAAAAGGGAAAAAAUGUUGAUGCCUUAAUCAUCCUUUUCGUCCUCCUUCUUUUCUCUUCUCUUUCUUUUCUACUUUCACAGCCGCCUCUCUUCACCUUUUUCUUUUCUCUUCAUCAAAUCAUCAUUUUCGUUCUCAUUCACUUCUUCUCUUCAUCAAAUCAUCCUUUUUCUCUUCAAUUAUUCUCUUCAUCAAAUCAUCGUCAUCACUCCUCAUCGCUUCGCUUCGCUGUGUUCGCAUUCAUCAUCAUCACCAGCCUUCAUUUGGCUGUCGUUUCUCCAUUGCGAUCUCUGUUUUGGCUGUCGUUCAUCCGCCUUUUGCGAAUUGCGCUGGCGGCUGUGACGUGUUCAUCAUCAUCAUAUCAUCAGCCACCGAUGUUCAUUACUUCGCCGAACACCGAUUGUUGAAGUUUGUGAACCAAAUCCGUGAAUCACGAUUUUGAGUUGUAGACAUGGAUUUGUAUUUUGUGAGUGUAUGUCAUGGAUCUGUAUUUGUAAAUGGUUUAUUGUUUUGAAAUUAAAAAUCUAUAAAAUUAAAAUGGUUUAUUACUUUGUAUUUGAUUUAUGUUGAAUCUGGUUUUGCAAAUUUGUAAAGUGUAUUUGAUUUUUUUUUUUAUUUGUAUGUGAUUCGGGUUGAAAACCCGCAAUCUGAAAACUCGUAAUAAUCCAGGUUUAACCCGUUCCGGACCCGGUAUCACAAAAACCGGGUUUAAAUCCAAGUUCGGUAUAACAUUUUAGUAUUCGGGUCCGGAUCCGGAAAGGCCAAACCCGGACCCGGACCCAGAUUUUACCAUCCCUACCAAAACGUACCCGUAAUAUCAUUGGACUACAAGUAAUGUUAAUCAUGUGGAGGUUACUAAAAAUGGUCGGCCAGAAGUAAAAGUGUGCUACUUAGUGGCGAAUUGUACUGUUUGUUAAAAAUUGGGAUAUGCUUAGUUUCACUAAGCCAUAUUUUUUCAGAAUCACAUCGGCCAAAAAAUAUGGUUUGCUGCCACUCAUUAUUGGAUCGGAUGCAAAGAAUGUAGCAGAUAUGAUGUUAAUGAAGGCUAUGCGAAUACAAACUAUAGAGUGUUCUUUUUUUAAAAGAAAGUAAUUAUAGAAUUAGGGUAUGUUCGGGUUGCAUUAGGUUCCCAUACAAUUCCUAUAAAGAUUCUCAAAUAAUCAACUUUUCAAAUAAUUUCCUAAAAUAUUUGGUAAAUCAAGAUUAUGAGAAAAUCACUUGUUAAAUAAUUUGUAAAACGUGCUUGAUGAUAAAUCAUAAAUGUGUCAUGGCUGGGUACGUUGACCAAAUAGUUCAUAUUUGCGGUAAUAAUAAAAAUGUAACCAUUUAUCUUCCGAUAAAAAUAAUUCAUUUAGCAAAUAAAUAAUCAUUCAAUAAACAAAAUAUAUGAAAUUUAAUAAAAUUGUUCCAUUAUCAAAAUGUGUACCAUCCCAGCAUAGACUGUUGGUUUGAAAAAUAUUUUACAGCGAAAAUAUCUAGAUCGCAAUUCUCAUACAAUAUAUAAAAUUAGCAUAAUCUAGAAAUUGUACUUUUGUUUUUUUGUUAAAGUAAUCUAGGCUCCCAGAUCACGAUCCGUCAUCACCAAUCUUGUUAGAUCACGAUCUAUCACCAAUGAUCUUCCAGGUUAUGACUCAAGUUUAACCUGCACUUGACGUGUGAGCGCCUUUAUCACUAAUAAAAGCAACUAGCAAGAGAAAAUAUCUCUAUCAAAAUUAGAGAGAAAAACUUUUUUCUCUGAUCCGUAUAUUGUGGCUCCUCUCACCCUUUAGAGAAAACAAAUCCUUUUAUAUCUCUAUUUGGUGGAAACCCUAGACUCCAUAUUUAUAUAUUUUUUAAUUCUAUUAAAUCAAAUUUGAUUUAAAUUAAAAAAAUAAUAAAACUAAAAGUGGCGUUACUUUUUUUUGUUAUAGGGGCCCACCUUGUAAAAUAACACAAGGCCCCUUACACACAAGCAUAUUAAAUGAAGCCUCCCACUAAAUUAUAUAUUUAGGCUUUUAACUCAAAUAACUAGUUAUCUUACUUUAAAAGUGGCGUUACUUUUUUUUGUUAUAGGGGCCCACCUUGUAAAAUAACACAAGGCCCCUUACACACAAGCAUAUUAAAUGAAGCCUCCCACUAAAUUAUAUAUUUAGGCUUUUAACUCAAAUAACUAGUUAUCUUACUUAUUAAUCCAGUAGCGGCGCAGUCAAUUAAAUGAGCUAACCCGGGGAUCAUAUGGGUAGGUACAAAAAUGGCUACAAUAAUUAAGUCUGUAAUUAAACUAGUCCAAUUAUUUAAUUCCAAAUCUACUCCACUAAAAGAUUGGAAUUGAUCUCCAUAAUUGUAUGCUAUGUAGGAUAGUGUUCUCGAAAAAUAAUUCGACUCAUGCCAUAUUAAUUUCUUUACUAAACAAUCCUUUGUACCACAUCGCUAAAUAAAUUGAUAUCUCAACUGUCCAAUCAAUUUAAUUACAUCUUGUUCAUUGACACUUACUGGUUUUCUCUAAUGAUCAUUUUCAACAUACUAAUUACGUUGACACACUCUAGCCAGAGAAUUCUAUGAUCAAGUGCCGAAAACCCAUCAAGAGAUGUGUUGUACAAAUUCUAUAUUGUUAAUCUAUAAUCUCACUACUCAUAAUUGCUUCCACCAAGAUACUGGGUAAUCUUGACUAUAAAUGUAUGUCGCGCCCAUUGGUAACUCAAAUGAAAUGACAAUCACAAACAUGAAACCAUAAUUAACUCAAGAUUAAGAUUGCAAUAAAAUCAAUGCCUAUGAGAUUUAAUAAGUCUGACAGUCAUUUCAAAGUUAAUUAAAUCUUAUAUGUGAUUCAGUUCAAUGCAGUCAAACUACAUUAGUAAAUUCAUACAUGAUUAAGACAAAUCAUUCAAUGAAUUUACUAUAGUCUAAACAUAAAUAGAGCAUUCAACUCUAUUUAUCAACUACGAACUUAAUUUAUUUAAUCACAAGAUAACUUGUAUUUAUGUCUUCUGUGAAUCUAUAUGAUGAUCACAUAAAUACAUAUAAUAUGAUUAAACGGAUCUUAUUCAAAAUAUUUAUGUAAUUGAAAAUAUCUCAAAUAUUUUAUUAAUCUAAAAAUAAAAUAAUUAAUAUGGUUUAAAGAGCACAUAAUCCCAACACAAUCGACUGACAUUGUUACCUUUAGUCCACAAAAAUGGUACCAAAGUGAAGAUUGGCGGCAUGAAACCACUACAUAAUGGUCAUUGCUUGUCGAUCUAUUAAAUAGCAAUGGCAUUGCAUCAAAUAUUCCCCAAUUUUGAUGGUGGUGUGCGGUGGUUGUUGUACUAUUUGGAGUGUAUGCUUUGCCACCAUCUCUCAUUUUCCAACUGGAACAUUACAAAUACAUAGGUCAUAUGAUUUUGAGUUUGAUAGUAUUGGUGGUAUCCAAAUAGCACUUUCACAAUCACCGACAAUGGCAUUGGUGAGGUCACUAGUUACCAAAAAUAAUUUUGGUUUUUCAAUUUUAUUUUUAAUUUUAAAUUUUAAAUAUUAAAAAUUACAUUUUUUUAGUGUAGGGAUAUUUUUGAAAGUUUGCUAUAAAAUUAGGGUAAUAUUGUUAUUGCAAAUUACAAAUCAAAAUUUUAAAAUCUACUCUUAUAAACUUUUAAGAGUUACUUCAAAAACAAAUUAUUUCAUAAAUAAGAUUUUGUGAUGAUCACUCUUGCUAUGAGUUUACCAAAUAUAUUUGAGGUAAUGGAUUAUCAAGUAAGUGAUUAUUUGGCAAUCUAAAGCAAUCCUAAACAUACACCUAGGUCCUAUUUAGGAUUGAGAUGCUAUAAUUUUUAAGCUAAAACUACUGUGGAAAAAAAAAUUGUAAUUAUCAAACAAAAGUUAAUAAUAUGUAGUAAAUAUAAAUUUUAAAUAAUAAUUUUGACAAAAUUAUUAAAGAUAUAAUAGAUUUUCUAUUAUACAAGUGAAAAAUCAUAUCAAUAUAACUUCCAAGUUACAACAGCUAAUGUUUACCAAACACUUUAGUACUGUAUUUUUUAAGUGACAGCUGUCCAACCUCAAUCCCAAAUAUACUCUUAGAUUGUCAUUAUCUUAAAAGGUAAGAAUCAUAUGGCCUCCAAUCUUCAACUCUUCAAAUCAAAAUUUGAGAAAUGCUGUGGAGUCACUCUCUAAUUUAUCCAAAUAUGCUUUAUGAUUAGAUUUUAUCCCUGCACAUUUAUUUUUUUUAAAAAGUUGAUUCAUGAGCCAUUCAUUCUCCCUAAAGCACACUAAAUCUUAAUUUUCUCUCUCUCCAAAUGAUCUGAAUAUCUUGCAAAGGUGGUAGCCCAUCUGGAUUCUUUGAUGGUGUAAUGUCAGCAAACUAAGUUAGUAAUGGUUGCACUUCUUCAUGAACAGUCUUCACCUCGAACUCAUCUUCUUUUUCUAGCUUAUUGCAACCUUCACAAUCUUCCUCCAAAGACCCUUCACAAUGGUCAAAAAAUUAUUCCUCUAUAUCCUAGAAUUCUUAUUCUAGUUCGUUAAAGGCACUGAAUGAACCUUCUUCCUAUCUACCAAAACUUAUACACAUUAUUCCUUCCUCUAUGGAUUGCAUCAACAUUGAACUGCCAAGGUCGUCCUAGUAACAGAUGAGACACAUCCAUAACUACUAUAUCGCACAUCACAUAACUUUUAUAAAUCUUUCUAGUAGAGAAAGAAACACGACACACCUUUUUUACAUGUGCUUAUGUAAAGUGCUGAAUUUUUUUUGUUAAAAGUCCCAUCAUGUCAACCGACGCUUUUAAAUUAUGCUCUCCCUGCUACCACUAUCAAUUAUCACAUUGCACGCCUUAUCGUUGAUAGUGUCACGUGUUUUGAAAAUCUUAUUUCACUGGCUAUCUUUUUUUAUCUUUAGCGCCAAUAAAACCUUCUACAUAAUACAAUUCAACAUCUCCUCUUCAUCUGCUUCUAACUCUAGGGCUUCUUCAUCAUUCGCAUCUAUAACAUUAUCUACUUCGCCAACUUCAGCCUCUACCAAAUUCAAAUUUUUUGUACAACAGUCAGUCGAUCAAUGCCCUAAUUCCUCACAUCAGCAUAGGCUUUACGUCUGGGUUAUUAUAUAUAUGUGGUUCGUAUUGCUAUUGCCUUGGUGAUUGUUGUCUAGGUGGCUGCUGUCUUAGCUGUUGCUAUCAUGGUUGUUGUGCCUGACUACUACCUACCCAUGUUUUAUGCUUAUUUUUAACCCCAACACUGCUUGGUUUAUUCUACACACUAAUGAAUUGUUGUUGAGUUCUAAAAACUACAUUUUGCUUCCGUUCUUCCAAUUUCUAUGUACCCAUGUCCCAAAUGGCAUUUACAAUCUGAUCUUGUAUCUCUUGUUUUAAUCCACCAAGAUACUUCGCAACUAUCCACAACUCUAGCUUAUCCAUAUUGUUUCUUGUGUGUAGAUGAUAAAAUUCCUUUGUAUAUUCAUCGACAUGCGUUCCCUUGUUUGCAGUUUUGAUAUUUUACAUACAACUACUGUUGAUAAUCCACUGGUAGGAAAUACUCUUUCAUCAUCCUCUGCAUUCUAGGCCAUGAUUUGAUAAGUGGUUUCACUGCAACUCUUCUUCGAUUCUCUACAUGUUGCCACUGUGCAGAUGAUGUGCGCUUAAACUUGAAUGCCACAAGCUUAACCCAUUUCUCUUGGGGAAUCUCCAUAUAUUAGAAGAAAUUCUCUAUAUCUGCUAUCCAAUCUAAAAAUUCGUCAACAUGCAUUCCGCUAUAACAAUCUGCAAUAUCAAUAUUAAUCUUGUAAUCUGAAUUCUUUUUACACUUCCCGUCAUAAUCCUCUAUCUUUUUUUUCGAAUUACUCUAUCACUCUUCACGCACAUGUAGCUGCACCCGCCUUGCGAGUUCUAAAUUCUGAGGAAUUACUUUGCGAUUGAUGCCUAAAGGCACUACAUCACGAUUAAAGCCUUGAUGUAUCUCUUAAUAGUAAUAAUCUUGAGGUUGUUCUUCACGAUUUACUCUUACAACAACUUCCUAACGAUUAACUCCUUCCUGCUAUUCUCUCUCUGUCAUGGAAAUCAUGAGACCCUUGAUUACUUGCUCCAUCGCUGCCAUUCUCGGGUUAUACAUGUCCUCCAUGACUUGCAAGACUACUUCUCUUACCAUAUGUCUGAUAGUCUCCAUAUACGUUGUCUGCAUCCCUUGGUCAACUUCUUCGAGGUGGUGCUCCUUUGUUUAUGUGGUCGUACAAUGAUGACAGGUGAACCUGCUCUAGUACCAACCGAUGAAGUGAAAACAUAAAAGGUUGAAGAUAGUUAAAACAAGGUUUCUAAAUAAUGAAGUUUACGGAGAAAUAUUGAAUUGAUAAAGCUAGGGCUUUGGCCUCUUUAUAUUUGAAAUAUUAUUUUAUAAUAAAAUUCUCCUAAUCUAAAUAAGAAAAAGAACAAAUGGUGUCCAGAUCCAAAUUCAAAAAAAAAUAUAUAAAAAUUUUAGAAGAAACAGAAAAAAUGGGGAAAUAUCUUAAAAUUAAAAAACGAUCAGGAAAGAAGUAGACUUUUUGACUUGACCACAGUGCAGAACGACACAUGGAGUUUUGGGUUUUUUUUAUCACGACCUUUGAAACAAUAUAUUAUACGCCGAAACCAGACACCUGUAGCCCAAGUUAUGGCCUCCAGAAGGUAUCCUGCUCGUCAUAAACAACAUCUUACAUCAUCAUUGAAAAAAAAAAGCAAUGUCGGUGGCUUGUGAUUCAAGCGUUGGCAAAUUUUGUCGAGGGCAUCUAUAACUUCCCAUGUUGGCAACAAUGAAUUAGGCCUUGAAGAGCAUCUCAUAUCUGUAAGUCUUAUGCAAUCCGAGAAGCAUUGGAAAACAAAUCAAACAAGAUUUGUUCUAGUAUAAGCUUUGCUUUCAAGGUGGCCUCCUUUUGAAUACAAGAAAAUAUAUUCAAUAUAUAUAAAUGAAACAGAAGAAAAUAGUAUAUAUAUAAUGAAACAGAAGAAAUUAGUAGUGUGAAAAAUGGAGAGGAGAUGAUGAUGACCCGUUUCAAUGAGUUAUUUGCAUAGCUAGUGCCUCAUUCUCCUCCAUUCAUGUACAUAACUUGUUCUAUUUCCAUGGCUUCAUAUUUGCAAGAGACUUCCUCUAAUUCCAUUGCCCUUCUAUGUGGCUCCAGAGAAAAGAUUCUUUCCAAGUAUUUUUUGAAAACUCUUUAGAAAUAGUAUAAAGAAGGUAAAUUUCAAUCUUUUUAAUUCAUGAACAAAAAGGCUUAAUUUAUACAAGUAUUUGAAAUAUGAAAAAGGAAUUGAUACAAUUGAUAUAAUUCAAGAAUAAUGAUUGAUUAGUAAAAAAUGAGUUAAUCAAUUUUUAUGUUUAUUUACAAUCAAUCUUUCUUAAUAAAUCAUUUGAUUGAUUGUUCUGUUUCCAUGAAUUUUGUUUGAUUCUUAUCAUCCUCACUCAAUCCAGCAAGGGAAAUGUUUUUAAACUCUUAACUUGCCUUCAAAAACUAUAAAUACUUUAUUUUUAUUUACAAUCUCAUAACUGUCAUGCAAAAAAAUUAGAAAGCAUUCCUUUGAAGUUUGUCUAAGAAAUCUUUCAAUUAUUUUCAUGUACACUUUUUUUUAAAGACUGGGAAAAAUCAAAAGUAAUAAACUCUUUUGAUCAAGGAAUUCUUUUAAUAUAAAAGCUGUUCCUUUGAUUUUUUUAAAUAAAAUCUUCACUCAAGCAUUUUAUCUUCAUUCCUUCAAUUUCGACAUUGAGUUUUUUUUUUUUUUUUAUUUAGGAGGGAGGUUGCUCAUUUGUCCCUACCAAAAUCAAUAGAUAAACUUACCUCCUAAGUUUUUUCAUAAUAAUCAAUAACCUCCCUACCAUCAUAAUUUUAUAAUAUUAUCCUUAUUUUUAAAUAUACUUUGAAUCGUGUUUAUUAUUAAUUAAAUAAAUUAUAUAAAUAGAAAUUAAAACAAAAAAUUUAAAUACUAAAAAUAAGAAUUUUUUUUGUGUGAAUAAAAAAUUAAUAAUAAGAUAUUUUUCUUAUACAUUUUUGUUAUUUUUAAAUAUCUUUCUUUAUAAUAAAUAUAUAUUUUAUAUUCCCAAGGUAAAAUAUCAAGUAAGUGACCCAUUUCUUUUCCUUUAAAUUAUUUAUACGAGAAGGGGUUAUUGACUAUUGUAAAAAUAAUAAUGGGUAAAGUGAUAUAAAUUGAUUUCAAAAGAGGGAAAACUAGCAAUAUCCCUAUUUAGAAAACCAUUCCAUUGACUUGUCAAGAAAAACAACAAUUUUGAGGAUUCCUUUUUAUUCCCUUUUUCUUUUGACAUCUUUCCUUUGUGAUGGUGGAAGUGGUGGUGGCAGUGAGAUUUUUAUUUUUUUUUUCAGUGAAGAAAUUAAUAACAACUAAGAAGGAUCUCACAUCUCCCCUAUUUAGAUCACCAUGCUCCAUGGCUAAACCCACGAAUUUGAAGACUCUCAAUCCCAUCAAAUACCACGAAAACGUUUUAGAAAUAUUGUAAAGAAGAUAAAUUUCACUCUUGUUAAUUCAUGAGCACAAAAGCUCAAUUUAUACAAGUACUUGAAAUAUGAAAAGGAAAUGAUAAAAUUAAUAUAAUUGGGGAAUAAUGAUUUAUUAGCAAAAAUUGAGUCAAUCAAUCUUUCUUAAUCAAUAAUUAAGAUGAAGGAAAUCAAUCAUUUGAUUAAUAAUUUUGUUUGCAUCAAGACUGUUUGAAUUUUAUCAUUAUUUCCAGUCGUAAGGAUGAAAAUAGAAAAUAUAUUAGCACAUAAAAUUGUCAAGUUGUAAAUUGUGUAGUAUCAAAGACAUGAGAAAAACUAUUAUGGAACAAACGCAUGUGUUAUAUAUGUGACUAUGUGAGCCCUUUCGAUAAUAUAUUUUGACACAUAUAUUAUACAUAUAUAUUUUGAUGUUGACUAAUUAAUCAUAAUAAAAGAAAUAAUCAUUGCUUACUGUAUGUGUAAGAAUAUUAUCACAUUAAUUUGUUGAAGGAUAUCAAUAACAAUGAGUGAAUGGAUUUUAAUGGAACUCUCUCAUCUAUAUUUUCGGUUUAAUGGAGUUUAAUGUGUACUAGAUGACAAAAAAAGUUGCAUUAUUGUGCUUAAUUUUUAAAAGGGAAAGUCCUCGCAUCAUACCAUCCUUUGAGGAGUUUUACUUAAAUAAAAAGAAAAAAGAAAAUCGAACCAUCCAUAAAAUUAUAUUCAUAUCCUCUUCAAAUCCAAAGUUUGAAAUUUAAAUUUUAUGUUUAUUAAAAUAAGUUUAAUAGACAAAUUAAAAAAUCUAAGUAGAGUUUCACUCUUCAAAGUUCAAACCCUUAUUAUUAUUUUAUCUUCUUAUUUUUCAUCACAUGAGGUUCGUAGUGACAUUGAUGUAGGAUGUUAUUUUAGGAUUUUAGGAUAUUAGGAUUUUUUUUUCAUUUUUUAAUAUCUUCUAUUAAAAAAGUAGAGUUAAUUAUGGUAUGGGCCGGUGCUCUCAAUAAUAUUGAGGGCAUUAGUUUGAGUUCUCAUGGAGCCUCCUCUUAUUUUCCACCAAAAAAAAAAAAAUUAAACUAUUUAUGGGUGGGUUUAUUAUGUCCAAUGUCAUUAGUGAAAGUAGUGAAUUUCUGAGCUAAUCCCCAUAGAUUUUUAAGUUAUAAAUGCAUGUAUCUGAAGUAUUAAUAGGUAUAACUCUAGAUGGUAGUAUAUCUGUGUAGAUUGUAAUCACGAAAAAUAAAUAUAAGUUAUUAACCUGAGUUUUAAUUUGUUCUAUUACGUGCAUUCCUGAAUUUAAUUAUAAAUAGCACUAAGAACAAGUUUUCACAAAGAAUUGAAUAAAAAAUCUUCUCCAAAGGGCAAAGGCUGUCAAAGAAAAAAAUAGAUUAAUUUCUUUCUUAUAUUCUAAUUUAAAAUGAUAAAAACUAAAACAUUAAGUAGAAAAAAAUAAUUGUAAGAAAUUUUAUUGGUGAAAUGAUAUGUUAUAAAAUGAUAAUAUCUAUAAUAAUAAUAACAAAAAUAAUAGUAAUAAAAAGUGCUUAAAUAAAAGCAUUGGAUACUUGCAGCACGUGGGUCCCAUUGAAAUACCAACAUAAAACAACAUAAAAUAACAAAAGAAAAAUACAUUGAUAUAUAACCUAAAUUAAUACGAACCAUAGUAAUUUUACGUAAAGUGAUACGUAUUUAAGAAAACACAAACAAACAAACAAACGGCAACAACAAUGAGGACAACAGAGCCUCAUGUAAGACAAGAACUGAAAGCAAUAAAUAUACAAAACAUUUAUUUUAUUUUUUUGGAAAUAACAUAAUUCAUUUCUUUAUCAAGUAAAUGAAGAGAACUGUGUGAGCUCCUAGCCCCAUUUCCAAAUGUGCACUUAUCUUGAUUGUAAAUCGAUGGAACAAAUCAUCCAUGAUUGCACUUCCAAAAUGAUUGGCCAGAAGGGACUCUGAGACUGCUCUUAUAUUAUUUGCCACGUGCUUGGCUCUUGCGUGCUUGUUAAACUCCAAGCCUUUGUUAUCAUUCUCAUAGCCCACUGACCAACUUAUAUGUGAUGUUUCAAGCUGAUGGAUGUUAAAGGAUCCUUCUCUUUCGAUAACUUGUCUUACUUCUUCAACACAAGGGUAAUAGAUUGGAUAAUUGAAUGACUCCAAUUUUGAUUCUUCAAUCAAACCCUAAAUAAGUUCAAAAGAGAGUAAAUCUCCUUAAAAUAUGUAUAAUUUUUACACACAUAUAAAUAUUUGUUACAAUAUAACAUCUUUAAUGAGAAUUUACCUAAAAAUUUUCAUAUUUUCUAUAUGAAAAUAUGAAAAUUUAUAUAUAUAUAUGAAAAUAUGAUAAUGUGAAAAUAUGAAAAUAUGAAAAUUUUCAUAUUUUCAUAUAUAUUUUCAUAUGAAAAUAUAACACAUAUAUUUUCAUAUAUGAAAAUGUGAAAAUGUGAAAAUAUGAAAAUAUGAAAAUAUGACACAUAUAUGAAAAUAUGAAAAUAUGAAAAUAAAGUUCAUAUAUAUAUAUAGAAAGAGAGAGAGAGAGAGAAAUAUUUCAGUCAUGAAUUUUAAAGUGCGGGAAACCUUUAAAACAGCAUGGUUUGUAAGCCUUUAAAGCCGUGUGGUUUUAAAAUUUUCCUGGACUUUUCUGCACUUUAAAAUUCCUGACCAAAAAACUACUAUAUAUAUAUAUAUAUAUCAUCUUAACUAACUUUGUGCAAAUAUACUUAUAUGCAUUUGUUCAAGAGAGAGAGAGAGAGGAUACCUCAUAGACCAUGUCAUUCAACACCAUUCCCAUUAACUCAAAAACACCCGUAUGGUGUUUGUCAUUACCUAUAAAGUUAAGAAUCAUACGACCUCCAAUCUUCAAUUCUUCCCAUCGAAAAUUGAGAAAUGAUGUGAAAUCACUUUCAAAUUGAUCCAAGUAUGCUUUAUGCACAUUAGAAGGGCUACAGGUUUUUGCUACGCAGACAUCCCUUUUAUUUAAUAAAGGAAUUCCACAUUCACUUACUAACUCUUUGGGUACCUGUUAAAGCAUAAAAUUGACGCAUUAUAAGAAUAUGAUUUUGUACACCAUUCUUUAAAAGAAUAAACGGUACCUGAGAGAGCCAAUUAAGACAGAAAGAAGAGUAAACCAAGUUUAGGAAACAUGGAGGAAAUAGCCUUCCAUAGAGAGACCCAGGGGCUACACCUAUGAAACAUGAACCAAAAUCGUCAUUGCGCUUUUCUGUCUUCAAUCUCUCAUAAAAGCUUGGAAGAGAUUUGGAAAGAGUAUUGAAAUCAUUUCCAGGAAGAUCAUUGAGAAAAGCAUGCAAUAUUGGUGGCUUAUGUUUCAAGCGGCUGCAAAUAGUGUCCAGUGCCUCUAUAGCUUGCCACGUUGGCAAAAAUGCAUUAGGCCCUGAAGAACACCCCAUAUCUGUAAAUCUGAUGCAAUCUGGGAAGCCAUUGCUAUACAAAUCAAACAAGCUUUCAUGCAGUAAAGGCUUUGCUUUCAAGAUUGCCUCCCUCUGAGAAAAAAAUGGAAAAGAAAAGAAAAUUGAUAAACAGAAGAAAUUAAAGUGUGAACAUCAAGAGAGAGGGAAAGUGAGAUUGAAGUUUAUAAAUUAAAUUGACCGGUGGCGCUGAGUUUUUUGCAUAGCUGUUUUCUCCUUCUCCUCCAUUCAUGAACAGAACUUGCUCUACUUGCAUGACUCCAUUUUUGCUAGAACCUUGC
rnacentral:lncRNA from 1 species